CUCCGGUUGGACUUGGAUGUCGGGUUUGACGUCAUGAGGGCGGUUGAAGGCGGAGAGAGCCCGCUCAAUGUUGGAGUUGAUGAGCUCGGCUCGGGCACGGUCACUUGCGAGCCGGGAGAGUACGAGGUCGGAGUAGCUGUCGUAUGGCGGCUUUAUGACGGAUGAAUGAGGAUGCAGGGAGAGGGACAAAACGGAGGAGGUGGAGGUGGGCUGAGUUUCUUCUGUUGACAAGAGUCGAAGUCUCUUGAAAACUGAAGCAGACACCACUUGAGGUGAAAAAGGACUGAGGGUGAAGGAGAAGAAGAAGAAGAUGAUGAUGAAGAUGUUAAUGGAAGGAAAUGGGCUUGGAGCUUUUCGAGCCAUGUAAAUGUUUGUGGUUUUUGCCGCAGCAGACAACAAACAAAGAAGACAAGUGAUGAGAAGUUUGGGAGAUGAGCAUGGGUUUAUUAUAUACACGUACGUCGAUCUGCAUGCAGGGCAUCAGUAGCGUAUUACUAUUAUUUAUUAAAGGUACAUAUCACAAAGGUCCAGGGGCGGAUUUAAAGGGGGGCACUGGGGGCACGGUCCCCCACUGCCCCCUUAAAUUCCUAUAAUACUCUUAUAAUUUUGACAUAAUUUUAGUGGUGUCUCUAGAAUUUUUUUUAAAAAAAAUAUAAAAGAAUGGGUCAUAAAAUUUAUAUCAUUCACUUUCCUCCUUUAAGAACCAAAUACCAAUUAUAUCAGUCAUUACUUUUGGUCCCCACUCCCCAAGUUCCCUUUACUCCUGUGGUCCCCUAUUUCACUUCACAACCCACGACUCCUCUUCUUCUGCACCCAACUAACUACUCUUUCUUUUUAUUACUUCAUCCAAUCAUCAUUAAUCAUUUACUUCCUUUGUCCCCCACUCUCCAAUUUUUCUUUGCUCUUCUGGCUCUUAGUUGUCCCCACUGAAAAUGGUCUCUCCCAUCAAAUAGUCCAAUCCUGGUUUUCCUGUCAUGAAAAUGGUGUUGUUGACUUCUUCACGCAGUCACGCAGUGUUCCAUUAAAGGAGUAAGCUUUUUGAAAACCAGGACCUGCUUUCUUCAGUUCAACUGCAAGAAACCAGUCCUUGAAGCUGACUUCUUUCCAAUUAAAUAACGUGAUACGGGGCACAAAGGAAGUAAAGGGACCUAGUCCGCCACUGAUUUGCAACUCUUUUCACCAAUUUUGGGAGACCAUCAAAAUUAGGUUCUAAACAAUUACUUCUUGUUAUUAUUUUAAAUUUGUUUGCAAAUAUAUUUCUAGAGCAUGAGACUAUUACUAUUUUAGAGAAAUUUGAAAAUUGAUUAGUUAAUGUAAUAACUAAUAAAUGGGUUAUUUGAUAAAUAUUUUAACUUGUGAAAUGGUGAUUUUAUAGAUUUAUAAUUUAUAAUUUAUUUUCCUUGAUUAGUUUCUUAUUUGGAGUUAAUGUAAUGAUGAAUAGAGGGCCAUUUGACAUAUAUUUUAACUUUUAAAUUAUUCUUGUAUGGAUCCUUUUGUCUAAUUAAAUUGAUUAGGUUCAUAUAUUGUGAUUAAUGAUUUGAUAUAGUAAUAAAUAAAUAAGUUGUGAUUUGAUAUAGUAAUGAUAUGUUGUGAUUAAUGAUUUAAUAAAUAACUUUAACUUGUAAAAUAGUUCUUGGAUAGAUUAUUAGAUUUUAUUGUACAUUUAAUAUUUUAAUUGGAUUAGUAUCUUAUAUAUUGAUUUUGAUUUCUUUAGCUAUGGAGAGAUAUUUCAAGAGGAAAUCAAUGGAAAAAGAGUCAUCUAAUAAAGAAGAAGCCAAGGAUAAUGAAAGUGCAAAAAAUGACAAUAAAAGAAGUUACUUGGAAAUUAACUUAGAUGAAUUACCUGCGGAUCCAGCCCAAAGAAAAAAAAUUGGGGAUUAUCAUCCAAACCUUCAAGAUGAAAUUCGGAGAUAUUGCUUACAAAAGGGACCAUGUCAACCUCAUGAGCAUGUUUUUCCACAAAGAAAGAUAGGAAAAAAGAUGCGUCGAUUUGUUCGGGGCUGGUUUGAUGAUUACAAGAAUUGGUUAGAAUAUAGUAUUGAAAAAGAUGCCGCUUAUUGCUUAUGUUGUUAUCUAUAUAGACCAGAUGUGGGUGAACAAUCUGGUGGUGAUAGUUUCAUUAAGGAAGGAUUCACAAAUUGGAAAAAAAAAGGAUAGAUUUGAUGUUCAUGUUGGUGGUCCUAAUAGUGCACACAAUCUGAGUUGGAGUAAAUGUCAAAGUUUAUUAAAUCAAAAUCAGCAUAUCGAAGUGGCAUUUUUUAAGCAAUCACAGAAAAUGAAGGCUGAGUAUCGGACUCGUUUAUUAGCCUCAAUAGAUUGUGCUAGAUUUCUCCUACAUCAAGGUUUGGCUUUUCGUGGUCAUGAUGAAUCUGAUACCUCUGAAAAUCAGGGAAAUUUUCUUGAACUUUUGCACUUCCUUACGGGUCAUAAUGAUGAUAUAAAGAAGGUUGUUCUUGAAAAUGCCCCUAAAAAUCUCAAACUCAUUGCUCCAGAUAUUCAAAAGGAUAUUUCAAAUGUUUUGGCGAGUGAGACUACAAUCAUUAUUGUAAAUGACAUUGGACAUGGAUUGUUUGCUAUUUUAUGUGAUGAAUCUCGUGAUGCAUCAACAAAGGAGUAAUUAGCAGUUGUUAUCCGUUACAUGGAUUCACAUGGAUAUGUGAUUGAGCGUUUUCUUGGUAUUCUACAUGUAAGAGAUACUACUGCUCUUUCACUUAAGAAAGCAAUUGAUGAUUUAUUUUCAAAGCAUGGUUUGAGCAUAUCACAAAUCCGUGGUCAAGGUUAUGAUGGUGCUAGUAACAUGCGAGGUGAAUAUAAUGGUUUAAAAACUUUGAUCAUGAAGGAAAAUGGUUCUGCAUAUUAUAUUCAUUGUUUUGCACAUCAGCUGCAAUUCUCACUUGUAAGGGUUGCAAAGAAACAUGUCCAAGUCUCUUCUAUGUAUAAUACAUUGUCUACCUUAGUGCAUGUUCUUGAAGGUUCAUCUAAAAGACAAGAAAUUCUUAGAGAACAACGCCUUAAGAAAGUCGUUGAUGAUCUAAUGACUGGAGAUCUUGUGAGUGGUCGGGGCUUAAAUCAAGAAACUAGCCUUCAAAGAGCUUGUGAUACACGUUGGGGUUCACAUUUUGGCUCGUUAUUAAAGUUGGUUCUUAUGUAUGAUUCUGUAAUAGAUGUUCUUUUGAUAAUUGAAAAUGAUGGCCUGGUGGAGCAAAGAGGUCAAGCAUAUGCACUUCUUAAUUCUUUGCAAUCUUUUGAAUUUGCAUUUAUUUUACACUUGAUGAAGAAAAUCAUGGGAAUAACGAAUGUACUAUCUGAAGCAUUACAAAGGAAGGAUCAAGAUAUUGUGAAUGCUAUGGGUCUGGUCAAAGUUUCUAAGCAACAGUUACAAGCUACUAGGGAAGAUGGAUGGGAUUUUUUACUUGAUGAAGUUUGUUUGUUUUGUGAAAAACAUGAGAUCAUCAUUCCGAAAAUGGAUGAAAUGUUCAUUACUAGUGGGAGAUCUCAAAGAAAAGUUCAGUAAAUUGCAAACCUUCACCACUAUCGAGUUGAGCUAUUUUGUGCUGUCAUAGAUUUACAACUCCAAGAACUCAACAAUCGUUUCAAUGAAAUCAAUAUGGAGUUGCUUUUGUGUAUGGCAUGCUUGAACCCAAGUGAUUCCUUUGCAGCAUUUAAUAAGAAAAAGUUGAUUCGUCUUGCAGAACAUUAUCCUUGUGAGUUUUCUAAGUUGGAUAUUCUUGCACUUGACACUGAAUUGGAUACUUAUAUUAAUGACUUGAAAUCAGCUAAGGAAUUUCUCGAUUUAAGAAAAAUCCCUGAUCUAGCUCAAAGGUUGGUGGAGACUAAGAGAGAUAUUGUGUAUCCAUUAGUUUAUAUGCUCUUAAAGUUGGCUUUGAUUUUGCCUGUUGCUACAGCUACAGUAGAAAGAGCUUUUUCAGCUAUGAAUAUAGUGAAGAAUCGGUUACGAAAUAGAAUGGGAGACACUUGCAUAAAUGAUUGUUUAGUUACUUAUAUUGAGAAAAAUAUACUUCGUGAAGUUGAAAAUGAGAAAGUUGUAAAUCGUUAUCAAAAUAUGAAAACUCGUCGUGAACAAUUGUAAAUAGUUUAGUUUGUUUUUGAAAUAAAAUUAUUAUUACAUUAAUAAUUUUGAGUUUGUCUUUUUAUGUUUUUCAUGGAAUAUACAUAUCAUUUGUACUUGUUAGUGAAUUUAUUUAUUUUUUGCUCAAAAAAUUAAAAAAAAAAGAGUAGAUAAAAAAUUUUAGUGUUAUUUUUGCUCCCACUGAGAUUUUUUUCUGGCUCCGGCACUGCAAAGGUCCAUAUCAUUUAAUUUCCAUAGAAAAGUAAAAGUUUGGUACCUUAACAUACACAAUUAAUCACCAGUCCUUCAAAUCAAGAUAUGUACAAUGUGUAAGUGAGAAUGUACAACUGAUAUUCCUAGUCUACUCUACGAGUAUCGUUACCGUAUGAAAGAAAAGGAAAGAACGAGAAGAUUUUAACAACCUUUAGUAGGCUUUUUUUUUUAAUCGACAUUUUGAGUUCUGGGAGGGAAGACUUUUUAGAGUCUUGCAGGAGUCCGUCUAAAGGGUAUUUGGAAAAUUCGACUGUCUAAUAAUCGAAUACAAUGGUGGUUCUUUCUUUCCUUUUUUUUCCUUUUUUUUUUUUUGAAUAUUUGGUACAUAGAGGUUCCAACUUUUACAAGGAGAAAGAAAAAUAGGAGAGUUUAAGGGUCAAGACCUUACGGUCAGUCACCUAAAAGCAUCCGUGCCAAUUGAGUUGAGUUUUGGGAACAAAAUUUUGGCCUUUCCAUUAUAGCAGGAUACAACUAAAUGCCCGGAUUAAUUAACUCAAUUUCCAUAAAUUUAAAAAAAAAGAGUAAGAAAUUGGUACCUCUGAUCAAUUCCAAGGGUAGAUAUAUAAUAUAAUUAUUAGUCCUUCAAAUGGAGACGAGUGUCAGUAGACUUAAAAGGAGUCCAUGAUAUUGAUAGUUGGUCUUUUGGUCACAAUAAUUAUUUCGAGAUGUUUGAUUCUUACUACCCGCCACCACUACUACCCGCCACCACCACCCACUCCUUCCUCCUUUCUCUUCCCCCUCUCUCUUCCCUUUCCCUCCCCCCGCCCCCCUUAAUCUGGCCGCAACCAAAGGCUGCGAUCUGGUCGCGGCCAGAAAGUCUGGUAGCGACUAGAUUGCGGCCUCUAGUCACAACUAGAGACCUUGAUCUGGUCUUUGGCAGAUUGAGGGAGGAAGAAAAUGGAGGGGGGGUAUUGGUGGUAGGCGGGGAUGGUGGUGGGUGGUGGGUGGUGGUGGCGGGUAGUAGUGGUGAUACGUGGAAAAUGUUAUAUAAUUCAAUUUAAAAAAAUUUUUUGUGUGUAUUUGUGAAUUAUUUUUUAUAUAUUGUAUGGAUAUGAUGUUUUUGAGUUGUUUUUAUUUGUGUAUUAUUCUAACAUUGUAUUUGAAAAUUUUAUUUUUGAAAAAUAGAUUUUUGGAUUUUUUGGUAGAAAAAUAUACUAUAUCAAUUUGAUGUAUGUGAGAUAAAAAUAAGUGUUUGAAAAUAUGAUCAUGAAAAAUAUAAAAAAAAUUCUGCAGAAAAACUUCAAGGAAUUUCUCGAGAAAAAGAAAUCCAAAAUCCUAAUUUUUUUUUCCUUUUGUUUUUAGAAAAGGAAAAAGUGCAAGCCAAAAAGCAAUAAAAUGGAUAACUUCUUUUCAUAUGAAUAUAUGAUGUUAAGUACUUUAUUUACUCAUAAAACCCAUAUUUUGGUUUAAGAAAAGCAAUACCUAAUGAAAUUGUAAAAUGAGAACGGUAACAAAGAUUAUAGUCUAAAGUACUCGUUUGAUAGGCUAGUGCAAUUUGGCGUUUCACUUGUACGCUUCAAAUGCACAUUAUCAAUCAGGCAUCCGGACGCUUGGCUAUGCAACUUGAACAAUCAUCACAUGUAGAACUGACUUUAUUCUAGUAUUUUAUAGGAAAAUAUGUACUCAAUUAGCCUGAAGUGAAUUAAAUCAUGAUUGUCAGCAUUUUAAACUUUUGAUGGUGAAGGCCUUAAUUGCUUGACAACUCCCAUGAUUAUUAUGGCUAAACUACUCAAGUUGCCUCGUUAUACUUCCAAAAAAAAAAAAAAUCUCAAUUCAAUCUUAACACUAAGAAGUGACUUGAUUUAAUCCCUUGGAAAUAACUCAUGUCAUUUUUAUGUUGAAUUAGUAGCCAAAAGAUUUAAUCGUGUAUUUUCAAUAGAACGGGGUGUAUGUGUUAUAUCAACGAUAUAUUGUUGAUGAUCAGACUAUAUGAAUUCCAAUUCUUUCAGCAAAGGUGAUAUCCAAACAACAAAAUUUCUUCAAAGACAUCUAAUAAAGAGAUUACCAAGCACCCAUGUUAUUGUUUAAGCAAUAUUAGUAUGUUUUCAUAAACAGCAUUUUAUUUGGGUUGAAAUCAAAUCAACACCUAUAUGCAUUUCAUAAACAGCAUUUUAUGAGGGAUGAAUGAGGAUGUAGGGAGAGGGACAAAACGGAGGAGGUGGAGGUGGGCUGAGUUUCUUCUGUUGAGAAGAGUCGAAGUCUCUUGAAAACCGAAGCAGAUACCGCUUGAGAUGAAAAAGGACUGAGGGUGAAGAAGAGGAAGGAGAGGAUGAUGAAGAUGUUAACGGAAGGAAAUGGGCUUGGAGCUGUUCGAGCCAUGUAAAUGUUUGUGGUUUUUGCCGCAGCAGACAACAAACAAAGAAGAGAAGUGCUGAGAAGUUUGGGAGAUGAGCAUGGGUUUAUUAUAUACACGUACGUCGAUCUGCAAGCAGGGCAUCAGUAGCGUGUUACUAUUAUUUAUUAAAGGUCCAUAUCAAAAAAAAAAAAAAUUUUUUGAUAACAAAGGUCCAUAUCAAUUUAAUUUCCAUAGAAAAGUAAAAGUUUGGUACCUUAACAUACAAGAAGGAGAGUACAUACACAAUUAAUCACCAGUCCUUCAAAUCAAAGAUAUGUACAAUGUGUAAGUGAGAAUGUACAACUGAUAUUCCUAGUCUACGAGCAGGGGCGGAGCCAGAAAAAAUUCUUAGUGGGGCAAAGCAACACUAAAAUUUUUUACCUACUAUUUUUCUAGUUUUUUAAACAAAAAAAAAAUUCACCAACAAGUACAAAUGAUGCAUAUAUUCCAUGAAAAACAUAAAAAGACAAAUUCAAAAUUAUUAAUGUAAUAAUAAUUUUAUUUCAAAAAUAAAUUAAACUAUUUACAAUUGCUCACUGCGAGUUUUUAUAUUUUGAUAACUAAUUUGGUUGUGGAAGUAAGAAUGGCUCUCGGUUGUGGAGGGAAAAUGGGGGACUAGUGGAGGGAAGGGAAAUUGGAAAGUGGGGACAAAGGAAGUGAAUGAUAUGAUUGGAUGAAUUGAUCAAGAGAAAGAGUAACUAGCUGCUUGGUUGUGGAAGGUAGUGGCUCUCGGUUGUGGGGGGAAAAUGGGGGACCAGAUGAGGGAAGGGAAAUUGAGGGAUAGGGUCCAAAGAAAGUGAAUGAUAUGAUUGGUACUUGCUAGUUAAAAUGAAAAUGAUUUUUUUUAGCUUAUUUCAAAUGAAAUUUGUGCCCCAGGUAUCAUUUUAGAAUUUUAGUUUAUGAACUAAUUUAAAAAAAUCACGUAAUUCUUUCAUAUUCUUCUAAAAAAAAAACUGUAGGGGUACAUUUAAAAUUAUAUUAAAAUUGUACAAGUAUUAUAGGAAUUUAAGAGAGACAGUGGGGUCCCGUUGCCCCCAGUGCCCCCAUCAAAUUGGAAUUUACGGUGGAAACAAGGUAGAUGCGCCGACGGCAGCUGGUGUUUCAUUUUCAUGAUGCAGACUGGGGAAAUUUUGGAGCAUUAUGCAUCCAUGCCAUUAGAUAUAUAGUGGGCUUGAUGUUAUACAAUGCAAAUUUUCUUUAAAAAAAAACUUUAAAUCAAAAUAAAUCUUGACCUAUCAAUUAUUGAUUUAAGCUAUCAAAACAUUGGCAUGUAACAUGCAAAUAAUCGUUGCUCAUAGGGCAUCAUUCCUUUCCGUCUCACACGCAGAUUAGUCCAUUGGUGGUUCUUUCUUUCCUUUUUUUUUUUUUUUUUUGAAUAUUUGGUACAUAGAGGUUCCAACUUUUACAAGGAGAAGGAAAAAUAGGAGAGUUUAAGGGUCAAGACCUUACGGUCAGUCACCUAAAAGCAUCCGUGCCAAUUGAGUUGAGUUUUGGGAACAAAAUUUUGGCCUUUCCAUUAUAGCAGGAUACAACUAAAUGCCCGGAUUAAUUAACUCAAUUUCCAUAAAUUUAAAAAAAAAGAGUAAGAAAUUGGUACCUCUGAUCAAUUCCAAGGGUAGAUAUAUAAUAUAAUUAUUAGUCCUUCAAAUGGAGACGAGUGUCAGUAGACUUAAAAGGAGUCCAUGAUAUUGAUAGUUGGUCUUUUGGUCACAAUAAUUAUUUCGAGAUGUUUGAUUCUUCGUAAUGUGGAAUAACUUUCCUCCAGACAUUCUAAAGAAACAUGAUGGAACAAGUUGCUGUUUGUGAGGUCGUAUUAAUCCUGGUGGGAACCUCUCUUGCGCAAGGAUUUUUGGGUAAUGAAUUGAUCUUUCCACAAAAACAAGUAUUUUUAUGUUUUCCUUCAUUUGUGUUCAAUUCAAUUCUCUAUAAUAUAUAUUAAUAGUACUAUUUAUCUAGAGGGGGCACCUUCAUGAAUGGACUAUCUCUAGAGGUUCUCCUUCACAUUUGACGCGCAGAUUACGCCAUUAGGCAAUUCGGGCGACUGAGCGGUCAACACAAGGCGACAUCAAAACAGUUGCGCAUUUGGCCCACCAGUACUAUGCAACCAAUCAAACUACUCCGGUCUUGAUUUAUUUUCUUCAGUUUCCAUUUCAUCUACUUCUCCACUGAACCUCUAGAGAAAGCUCAGUCGUUAACUUUGCUUGUCUGUUCAAACGUCUAACAUCAAAAUUAGAAUUUAAAUCAAAACCUUAAAGUGGGAACAAAGUGCCAUCUUUUAAAAACAAAAAAAAAACUAAUACAUCGAAACGUAAAAUUGAUAUAAUAGAUGGGAGAAAUUUCUUCGAAACUCCAAAAUGUGAUUCUCGAGUAGAUUAAUGCAAGUCUUAUAAAUUGAUUACAUUUUCAAUCAAUUCAAUUUCAGGGUAAACAUGCAACAUGCCCAAGUAUAGCUCUGCCCUGGUUUUCACGGUACAACCACUUUUUCGUUCUCAAAGAAGUCAUUAGCAUACUAAAGAAAGAAAAGGACCUAAAAGGAAAAAGAAAAGGAUCUAAUUAUACUAAGAAUCACAAAAGUUAGUUUGGUUGAGAAAAGGAAGUAGUACUUUAGAACAAACAAAGGUAGACGAUGAGAUCCUCAAAAUAUCAUAACUAUGAAAACAUUUAGUAUAUAUUUAUAUAUAUGAAGAACAACAUUUAUUUGGGUUGAAAUCAACUAUAUAUACAUAUAAAUAUAUAUAUAUAUAUAUAUAUAUAUUCUAGUAGUAGCACUAGAGGGAGGGAGUGCUCUAACAUUUAUUGGCAAGGUCGUAAGUGACCCGCAUCCCUUGCUGCUGUAUAUUCCCAAGAAGAAAUCCAAAAUCCUAAUUUUUUUUUCCUUUUGUUUUUAGAAAAGGAAAAAUGAAAGCCAAAAAGCAAUAAAAUGGAUAACUUCUUUUCAUAUGAAUAUAUGGUGUUAAGUACUUUAUUUACUCAUAAAACCCAUAUUUUGGUUUAAAAAGAAAAGCAAUACCUAAUGAAAUUGUAAAAUGAGAACGGUAACAAAGAUUAUAGUCUAAAGUACUCGUUUGAUAGGCUAGUGUAAUUUGCCGUUUCACUUGUACGCUUCAAAUGCACAUUAUCAAUCAGGUAUCAGGACGCUUGGCUAUGCAACUUGAACAAUCAUCACAUGUAGAACUGACUUUAUUCUAGUAUCCUAUAGGAAAAUAUGUACUCAAUUAGCCUGAAGUGAAUUAAAUCAUGAUUGUCAGCAUUUUAAACUUUUGAUUGCGAAGGCCUUAAUUGCUUGACAACGCCCAUGAUUACUAUGGCUAAACUACUCAGGUUGCCUCUUUUUAUACUUCCAAAAAAAAAAAAUUUAUCUCAAUUCAAUCUUUAACACUAAGAAGUGACUUGAUUUAAUCCCUUGGAAAUAACUCAUGUCAUUUUUAUGUUGAAUGAGUAGCCAAAAGAUUGAAUCGUGUAUUUCCAAUAGAACGGGGUGUAUGUGUUAUAUCAACGAUAUAUUGUUGAUGAUCAGACUAUAUGAAUUCCAAUUCUUUCAGCAAAGGUGAUAUCCAAACAACAAAAUUUCUUCAAAGACAUAUAAUAAAGAGAUUACCAAGUACCCAUGUUAUUGUUUAAGCAAUAAACAGCAUUUUAUUUGGGUUGAAAUCAAUUCAACACCUAUAUGCUUUUUAACAUUUAUUUGGGCUGAAACCAUACAUCUUGUUGGCAAGGUCGUAAGUAACCCGAAACCCCUGCUGCUGCGUGUUGCCAAUUACUGAGCGAGGUUGAGAAGUGGUCUGGAAAGCCAAACAGAACGUGCCGUCGGAAUCAGCACGAAACAGGUAAUUUUGAGGUUUCAGCGGCAGCGUCUUGCCCCCGGAGAACUGAAACGACAUCAUUGGGAAGCCAUCUCUGGUAGGCGUAGAGGAUAGAUCAUAACAAGUGUCGAGACCACCGAUCCCAGCGGCGGGAGGCAACUUUUUAGCGUACUUAACAAAGGUGUCGCGGACCGAGUUAUAUACCUGAGCUGGCAACGCUGUGAUGGUGGUACCCGAGUCGACGAUGAUUCCCCCACGCCCAUCUUCGCCUAUUUGAUAAGCCGAUGCAGGAAUGGGCACUUGUUCUCCAUUAAUGGUGAUCCCCGUGAGUUCCACGUAGUAAUAAAUCUCAGAUUUUGGGUUCAUAAUCAAAGGAACGAGGAUUGAGUCACCAGGUGGAGCUGAGUUAAACUCGAGAGUCGAGGACGAGCUGGAGUCCAAAUCCACGAGGCAGUAGGAGAAAGACUUCGCCUGAAUUUGAGAAGGAAAGCCUACUGCAGUGCCCCCAAGGCCGAGUAUGCCAGCUGCCUUGCCAAAUUGGCCUUGAUUCGCGUGCCCGCACCCGAUAGCCACUUUCUGAACCGAACCCGAACUCCCGAACGACACCGUUUCAGUGGCAAAUUCUCCAAUACUGAUGGAAUUAUCCCCGUACAACGCUCCGUAGAUGCAAGUGUUGUUUCGGCCGCACUGGUAAUUCUGGCGGCUCAAGGCGGUGCACUGCUGCGAUGUGCAGGAUAAAGGGCUGUAAGACGAGGAUCCGGAUGGGUCGAAUAUCGGGUCGGUUUGGGCGUAGCACUGACCGCAGGGCAGGCAUUGGAGCCAGUUGAUUUGGCUGCCCGUAUCCGCUAUCAGGUAGUAUUCUUUCACGGGUUGGCCCACUCCGACCCGAGCCACGUACCCUCCGCCAGACGGAGUCAGCGGAGCUUCGAGGUCCUCCGGUUGGACUUGGACGUCGGGUUUGACGUCAUGAGGGCGGUUGAAAGCGGAGAGAGCCCGCUCAAUGUUGGAGUUGAUGAGCUUGGCUCGGGCCCGGUCACCUGCGAGCCGGGAGAGUACGAGGUCGGAGUAGCUGUCGUAUGGCGGCUUUAUGACGGAUGAAUGAGGAUGCAGGGAGAGGGACAAAACGGAGGAGGUGGGCUGAGUUACUUCUGUUGAGAAGAGUCGAAGUCUCUUGAAAACUGAAGCAGAUACCGCUUGAGGUGAAAAAGGACUGAGGGUGAAGGAGAAGAAGAAGAAGAGGAUGUUAAUGGAAGGAAAUGGGCUUUGAGCUUUUCGAGCCAUGUUUGUGGUUUUGGAGCAGAAGAGAAGAUGGAAGAGAAGUGAUGAGAAGUUUGGAACGAGCAAGGGUUUAUAUACACGUACGUCGAUCUGCACGUAGGGCAUGUGGUUAAUUAAGACAAGGCUGCAUUCACAUUUUAUUUAUUUAUUUUUUUGUUGAGGAUAAGUUCAAAUUGAAUUACGGUAGAAAACGAUGAUCAGACACAACCAGACGCUUCUUCCCUGAAGAAAUGAAGAGAAAAUUAAAGUAGUAGCAGUUGCUUAACGAUAGUACGUAGUAAUUCAGAUGCUUCGUAUAUAUGGAGAAGCAGUCUGAAAAAAUGGCCCCUCACAAAUAUCACCAUAUUAACCAUCCUCUUUUAACUUUUUAAGAGCGAAGACUUAGAGGAGCGUAGACAUGAUAGUUGGUCCUUCUGGUGGGCAUUGGUCACAAUAAUUAUCUUAAUUAUGGCAUUGAAUAUGAUGGAAAAUUGGAAUUGCAGUGGCUAGGGAACAAGAAGGCUUUGAAGGUAGAUGGACGAACGGCAACAGACAACUCAGUUUGAUCUUUGAUGAAGAGCAAAUAUAUAUUGGCUCGGCUGCAGGGUUAUACCUAAUUAGAAAUAAUUAGGGUUAAUAUAAAAAAAAAAAAAACCCACAGAAAAUUGCCAUCUGCCAAUCACACUGAUUACUGUGACUUCCUUGUUUCCGAUAGUCAUGCCUUCGUUAUCUAUAGUUAAAUGGUGGGUGCUAUGGAUUAAUAUAUAUAUAUAUAUAUAUGCAAGUAAUAAUUUUUCGUAAAGAAAUGUUUAAGGGUUUUACGUAAAAACCCUUAAAAAAAAAAGAAAUCUUCAAAGGUUUUACAUGCAAAUUCUUUCCCCAAGAGUUGUGGAACACAAGGAAUUACGUGGCUCUCUAAACUCACCACUUGGGAUCCUCGGUGACAUGUUUUUUAUGCCAACCCAAUGUCACCAAUAGUGUUACGCCAAGUGUCUUGUUAUUAAUUACACUUUAAUUUUCUAAUAAUUCAACUUGGCUUGAUUUAACACAAAUAUAAAUAAUAACAAGACACUUGGCGCAAUACUAUUGGUGGCAUUGAAUUGGCAUAGAAAACAUGUCACCGAUGAUCCCAAGUGUAAACUCACACGGUCCGCAAUUUUACCUGCAUGGUCCAGGUCCAUCUCUAAGAAGAAGAGACAGUACAAUUGUAAUUUUUUUUUUUGUAUAAUAUAAUGAAUGCGAUGGCCCUUUCUUUGAACAGAGAAAAAUUCUGCAAAUACCGUAGACGUUCAUCUUGACAUAUAAGCCAUACUUGAAAUCAAAGUAAUAUCCCAUGCAUCAGAGCUUACUAGCUAGUAUUAUUGAUUUGAACAAUAAAAUCAAGGGAGUGGAGUGUAAAAUUCAGAUAAUCGUUUUUCAUGCCAUGCAGAUUAGGCCAUUAGGCGAGUAAGCGGUCAACGGUAAUCAAAACAGUUGCACAUUUACAAUUUAGUCCACUCGUCAACCAAUCAGACCAUUUCUUCUUCUUCUCCAUUUGAUUUAACCUAGAGAAAGUCUAGUCGUCAUUCGUUAAUGCUCUUUCUAGUUUAAAUGUCUUAACAGGAUUGAAUUAAAACAUAAAAUGAAACGAAAUUCUCCCUUUUGCUUUUCUUUUCUUCUCUUCUUUUUUUUUUUUUAAAAUUUGGGGAUAAUUUCAUUCAAUGAAAAUUGCACUAAUAGCAGUAAAUAACAUCAAAAUGUGCAAGGAAUGCAACAGACAGAAGGAAUUUUCUUCUAUUUCGAAGAAUUAAGACAAUCCAAAUUGUGAUUCUCAAAUAGACUAAUGCAAGUUUCAUAAACUGAUUAGAAUUUUGAAUUAUUAGCUCUAUUUGCUAGUAAGAAAAAAAAACACCUAGACCAAAGCAAUAGAAGAGAAAGAACGAAAGGCCAACUAGAAAAUUACUAUCAAGUUAAAGUUGUAAAUUUCCGUUGAUAUUAUCAAAUAUUAUCAAGUUUCAUUAAACUAAGGUUGUACACUUCCGUUAUUUCUAUUGGCCGAUUAUCAAAGUGGCGAUGUCAAAGACAAUAUCAAUCAGGCUGUCGGUCUAACUUAUUUCAUUUAACGAUUUGUUUUAUGUGUUGAAUCAUUCUGCAAGCAAAGCCAAUGGCGACUAGUCGAUCAAUCAGACAUCCAAAGAAGUUAACCUUCUUUGCAAGCUGAUGUGACUGCCAAGAACCAGAUCCGAACUGAGCUGUAUCGAGCCGAGCUGAUCAGGCGCAAGCGACCUAGAAGUGGAAACCGAGCUAAUGCACCUACAAAGAAAGAUCAAGUGCGGGACUGGUGUCCCCGGAAUAACUCCGACGGCCAAGUUAGUCAAGCUUGUCCACGGAGUAAUAGUAGAGAAUACUUGUGUAUGCGUACCUUGUAUUGUCCCUAGGCAUGGUUUAUAUAGGGCAGAGUGGGUUGUAGUUUCCUUGUGGAAGUCAGAAUCCCCGUAGGGUUCGGAGUCUUCUUAGGGUUUCGUGCGGCGGCUCCUACAAGUUCGGAGGCGGCGGCCCAUAGGCCCAUCUCAGGGAUCGACAAGUAAGGCCGAGCUGGCAUCCACAUGCCGAGCUAGCGCCUGCGAGUCGUGAGGUCUCCACCGUCGACCUGACGCGCACAACCUGCUGAGCUGACACGUGUCACGUGCAGAUUUGCCCCACUACACUAGCCCCCUUGAGUCUAGAGUCACUGAUGAGUCACGUGGGUCUGGACCAAACUUCGAAGCGUCACGUCGGCUUCGUGCGGGACCCACGAUCCCACGAUCACGUACCUCCUCCGAAAAACUGCCACGUCCGCCGUCGUAACCGUCACUUCAAGGGUCACGUCCGUCAUGAUGGAGGUUUGUCAGCUCAAGCGUCUUCCAAGGUAACCGCCCCCUUGCAAUAAGUUCGAAUUUCUUUCUCAGGACUCUUCGGCUUCCCGCCCAGGGAGCCUAUAAAUAGGCCCCACCAAACGUCACUUUCAAGCCUCCCCUCUCAUUUUCUCUUCUCCUCCAGUCUUCUUCAGCUCGCUCCGCAUUCCGUGAGGUCGUCCGAGAGUAGGAUUACCUUCUAAGCACAUCCCAGCUCUUCUCCUUUAUCCACCAGUAAGUCCUCCUUUUCCUUUUAUGUCGUCUUCCUCCACACACUCAGACCUUACCAGCUCAGCACCUAGGCGUAGGAUUACCCGACCUGCACUCAUAGAAAUACCUUCCUCCAGCUCCUCUUCUUCCAGCUCGUCUGAUUCUGAAUACCUUCCUCCCCCAGCCCCACCUCUUGCUAUAGCCAUGGACCAACCUGGCCCAUCUGCUCAGCCCGGGGCUGGAGCUACUGUCCCAGGGAUUCCUCUGGAGGUAGUUCCAGCUCGCUCUAGGGCAGGACCCCCUAGGGGGCCAGACAUCGACUUUGGAGAAGUCGAAAUUAUUCCCCCCCUUCUCGACCAGGGAGACGUAGAUGAGCUAGUGGGGAGGUAUGACAUCCUUCCCCAGUUCGAGGCUAGGGCAGCCCGGCCAGGGGAGUAUGCUUGCCUACCUCCCCCUGGGUUUGUAACUAUCUACAGGGAUCAGCUCGUGGCUGGUCUUCGCCUUCCCAUUCCCUACUUUCUUUAUGACAUCCUAACCUUUUGGGGCAUUUGAAUCACCCAGGUCGUUCCCAACGCCAUUCGGUCCAUCCUCGGCUUCUUUAUUUUGUGUCGAGCUCUUGAAAUCCCUUAUUCUCUGGACCUAUUUAGGUCUUUCUUUCAGAUGAAGGUAAGCGGCCCAGUUCAUGGUUGGUUCUACUUCGCUCGCAGGAGCGGAGGGGAACUCCCUACCCGCGAGCUGUUCACUCAUAUGCCUUCUUCCAUCAAGGGCUGGAAAGCCCAGUUCUUUUUUGUGAAGAAUACUGGGUUUCCUCCCCUAACUUGGAGGGAGGAUACCCAGGUGACCGAUCCAAUCCCUUCUCCCCUGCCCGAGGCCGAGCUAGACCGCUUGGUCAGCUCGGAAGCUCAACUGAAGGUGAAGGAAUUUAACAAUGCCCAACUCUGGUCGGCGGGGCUAAUCCGAGCAGAGGUGAACGACCCUGCCCCCGAUCUCCGACCUAUCACCCCCGAGGAGCUGACAGCUUGUAAUUUUCUCGACUUCCUCCUUUUCAUGAGUCCACACCAUCCUAACUGACUAAGUGUUUCUGUCCUGCAGUGAAGAGGUUUUCCCAGCUGCUGAACAUUGGCGGAAUUGGUAGCGCGAGCACGCCAACUCCUGCGCCUUCCACAGCGCCGAGCAGCACGGUGCCUCCACCUCCACCUGUGUCCACUCCCCAAAUUGCCGCUCAGUCUUCACUGGGGGAGGGAUCAAAGAAGAAAAGAAAGAAGUCCACGGCCAAGAAGGCCAGGACAGAGGCGGCUUCCCCCCAGUCCCAGGAGGAGCCCUCUACUGCCAUUGCCUCUCAUUACGGGGUGAGCUCCGCCGAGCAGCAGGCCUCGUCACAAUCUCCCCCUGCUAUGUGGCGUAUGAGGAAUGUAAUUCCCAUGAAGCCCCCUACCGAACUGGGCUCACACCCACACCCCCUCCAUUUCUGCCCGAAGUGGGGGCUGUCGGUGAACGACCGAGCUCAGUUCCCUGAAGUGGCGAAGGAGCUCGUCAAGGGCGCUGUACUCCCCCGCGAUCACCACUUCAUCCAACUUGCCACCAAUGCUGAGCUGCUAGAGCACUUCUACCUCAGCACCACCCAGGUAGCUUCUUAACUAGCACUUUCUUUGGCACCCUUUCGAGUUUUGCUGCCUACUUAUCCUGUAACUAAUAUGCAGCUCAAUGUUACGGGGGCCGAGCUGGCUCAGCGAUAUGAGAACAUGGGGGUCAACCUGUCCCAGGUUGACGCUGCCAAAGAGAAGCUGUCCAGCCAGCUCGAGGCUGCAGAGACCGAGCUGGAGACCCUGAAGAAGCAACUUGCAGAUGCCAACUCCUCCUGCGAACUGGAAAAGAAGAAAGCGGCCGAACUGGCUGCGACUUUGGAGGCAGAGCAGAAAAAAUCUGCCGAGCUGGUGGAGGCGGCAAGGGAAGAGGGGCGUCAGCAGGGCGUCCAGGAGUUCAAGAAAUCUGAACGCGGACGACCUCACGGAAUGCGGAGCGAGCUGGAGAAGACUGGAGGAGAAGAGAAAAUGAGAGGGGAGGCUUGAAAGUGACGUUUGGUGGGGCCUAUUUAUAGGCUCCCUGGGCGGGAAGCCGAAGAGUCCUGAGGAAGAAAUUCAAACUUAUUGCAAGGGGGCGGUUACCUUGGAAGACGCUUGAGCUGACAAACCUCCAUCAUAAAGGACGUGACCCUUGAAGUGACAGUUACGAAGGCGGACGUGGCAGUUUUUCGGAGGAGGUACGUGAUCGUGGGAUCGUGGGUCCCGCACGAAGCCGACGUGAUGCUUCGAAGUUUGGUCUAGACCCACGUGACUCAUCAGUGACUCUAGACUCAAGGGGGCUAGUGUGGUGGGGCAAAUCUGCACGUGACACGUGUCAGCUCGGCAGGUUGUGCGCGUCAGGUCGACGGUGGAGACCUCACGACUCGUAGGCGCUAGCUCGGCAUGUGGAUGCCAGCUCGGCCUUACCUGUCGAUCCCUGAGAUGGGCCUAUGGGCCGCCGCCUCCGAACUUGUAGGACCCGCCGCACGAAACCCUAAGAAGACUCCGAACCCUACGGGGAUUCUGACUUCCACAAGGAAACUACAACCCACUCUACCCUAUAUAAACCAUGCCUAGGGACAAUACAAGGUACGCAUACACAAGUAUUCUCUACUAUUACUCUGUGGACAAGCCUGACUAACUUGACCGUCGGAGUUAUCCCAGGGACGCCAGUCCCGCCCCUGACCUUUCCUCGCAGGUACAUCAGCUCGGCUCCCUCUCUCAGGCUAGCUGCGCCUGACCAGCUCGGUUCGCUACAGCCCAGCUCGGAUCUGGUUUUGGCAGUCACAUCACAAGCAUUUUUGUGGAAAAUGAAACAGCGAAUGGAAUGGAAUGGUUGUACAAUUCCCUCCUUGCCAAGUAAUUGAUUUCCUGAUAGUUCCCCCAAAACGAUGUCGACUAUCAACGAAGUACAUCAUAUAUACCGUGUUUACUAAUCGAAAGAACGAUUAUUUUUCUUAUCUAAUGUAUAUCUGAUCAUGUAUAGAUGCAUGACUCAUGUACGUUUUAAAUUUUAUAUCUAUAACAUGUAUUUAAAUUCGUUAAUAUAUACGUACGCUGUCAGUGUACAAAAUAUAUUUAUUAAAACAAAAUUUUUAUAAAUUUCUCAAGUUCAUUAUCAUGUUUUCAUGACUAAGUUAACCGAUGAAAAAAGGCACUCAAUUGACGGAACUUUUAAUAAGAAAAGCACUAUGAACAUGUAAGGCAGAAAUCAACGAUAUGGAUAUUAAAGCAUUGAAAUGGAGGAAUCUUCAUCGAUCAUAUCAGAAACCGAAUUAUAUUAGACUAACUUUGUACCGGUGUUACUUGACAUUCCGACGAGUGGAGAUGGAAAAUAAUGUGAACGUCCAGCCAAAUAAUUUGGUGGGGAUAACAAACUGAUGCGAUGUCCAAACCUGGCAAAAAGCAUUGGACCUCUAUUGUCCUUGUCGCCCCAACAAUUUCAAAAUUGAGUUUUGUCUGUUACAAAUUAGUUUACACGAUUCUUAUUACAUUUAGUGUAAAUUUAUCCCAUAAUCGCUUGUCCUAGGUUACUAAAGACUUAUUCUUGAUUGAUUACUUUAGCUAUAUAUUUAUGGAUUCUGACGUUAGAUAAUCAAUUUUUUUGAUAUUUUUGUUUAUUUUAAUUAUACAAAUUUUUUAUUUUUAAUAUUAAAAAACUAAAUUUCAUAAUCAAUCAAAAAAAUAAAUUUUACUAAUAUUCUCAUUAUUCUCUAUAGUCAUUUUUUUUUAAAUCUUAAUCUGAUUUUGUAAAAUCUGAAACCAAGCAGUAUUAGUAUGAAUUUACUAAUAUUUUGGUUCCAAUUUCUUCGGAUGUCCUCUCGAAGGAAGGGACAGUAUUUUGGUUCAAAUCAAAUAUAUUCUCGUACUAGCAAUAAGAGACGGUGCUCAUGGUCUUAACAUUGAUUCGGACUAAAACCAAUCAACUUAUUGGUAAGGUCGUAAGUGACCCGCAUCCCUUGCUGCUGUCUGUUCCCAAUUAUUGACACCCGUUCCGAAGACACCCGUUCCGAACUGCCGGUGAAAGCCAAACAGUGCUUGCCACUGGUAUCAACACGAAUCAAAUAAUUUGCAGGCCUCAGCGACAGUGUUUUGCCCCCAUGGAAUUCAAACGACAUCGUUGGAUAGCCAUCUGUGGGUUCAGAUGAUAGAUCAUAGCAAGUGUCAAGUUUAACUGGACCAUAGUCGAACCCGCUCGCGGGAGGCAAGGCUCGAGCGUACUUAACAAACGUAUCGCGGACCGAGUUAUAGACCUGAGUUGGGAACUCAGUUAUCGCGGUGCCCGAGUCAACUAAGAUUCCCCCGCGUCCAUCUUCGCCUAUUUGGUAAUCUGAUGCCGGGAUGGAUACUUUUUCUCCAUUAAUAGUGACCCCCGUGAGUUCCACGUAAUAAUAAGCCUCAAUUCUUGGGUUAAUUAUCAAGGGAACGAGGACUGAGUCACCAGGUGGAGCUGAGUUAAAUUCAAGACUCGAGGACGAGUUCGAGUCCAUAUCCACAAGGCAGUAGGAGAACGACGUCGCUCUAAUUUGAGACGGGAAGCCUACAGGAGUGCCCCCAAGACCAAGUAUCCCAGCUGCCCCGCCAAACCCGCCCUGGUUCGUAUGCCCGCACCCGAUGGCUACUUUGUCAACAGAGCCCGAACUUCCAAACGACACCGUUUCGGUGGCGAAUUCGCCCAUGCUACUGAAGUUAUCUCCGUACGACGCUUUAUACGUACACGGGUCAGCUUUGCAAUUUUGGUUUUUUUCCAGGGAGGUACACUCCUGCGAUGCACAGGAUAAAGGACUAAAAGAUGAAGACCCGGAUGGGUCAAAGAUCGGGUCGGAUUGUUCGUAGCAUGGAUCGCAGGGCAGGCAUUGGAGCCAGGUGAUUUGGCUACCCGUAUCCGCUAUCAGGUGGAAUUCUUUCACGGGUUGGCCCACUCCGAUCCGAGCUAAGUACCCUCCCUCAGAAUGAGUCAGUGGAGUUUUGAGGUCCUCCGGCUGGACUUGUACGUCCGGUUUAACAGCAUGACGGCGGUUGAAGGUGGAGACAGCCCGUUCGAUGUUGGAGUUGAUGAGCUUGGCUCGGGCUCGGUCACUCGCGAGUCGGGAGAGUACCAGGUCAGAGUAGUUGUCGUAUGGCAGCUUUAUGAUGGAGGAAUGAGGAUGUAGGGAGAGUGACAAGACGGAGGAGGUUGAGCUAGGCUGAGCUUCUUCUGUUGAGAAGAGUUGAAGCCUCUUGAAAGCUGAAGCAGAGACAACUUGAGGUGAAAAAGGACUGAGGGUGAAGGAGAAGAAGAAGAAGAAGAGGAUGAUGAAGAUGUUAAUGGAAGGAAAUGGCCUUUGAGCUUUUCGAGCCAUGUACAUGUUUGUGGUUUUGGUGAUGAGAAGUUUGGGAGAUGAAGUUGCGUCCACAUUGUUUUGGUUUAGGAUACAACUAACGGAUCCGGAUAAGUUCAAAUGUUCGAUCACAGUAGAAAACUUUGGUCUUUCUUUAUUAUAUAUUUUUUGUUUCCAGUAUGACUCUGUUCUACCCCAAUUUUAUUUUUUAUUGUAUUAUUAUUAUUUUUUUCACAAAAAUUAUAUUUUAAUUCUUUUUUAUUUCUCACGUUCAAAUAACCACUGACACAUACAAAUGUUUUUCAAGAUAGAUGGGCCAAAUGAGACUGAACUACCAUCAUAGAAUAGCCCAAUUAAGUUGGGAAAAUCUAACGGGAAUUGAACUGCCAUCAGAUUAGACGGGUAUACCAUGCAGUCGUAUGAAUUUAGAACAAAUCUCAUAUAAAGACACAUUGAUGGGAGAUAAGAUUUGAAACCUUAACCUCCCAUCGCACGAUUAAUGUGAUGGCCAACUCAAUAUGACUGCAGGGUCACUGUGACUUCUUUUUCCUGUAAUCACGGCUUUGUUAUCUAAAGUUAAAUAUGAUUGCUAAUAAUUUUUCGUAAAGCAUUCUUUAAGGGCUUUACAUGCAAAUUCUUUCCCUAAAGAGGUGCGGGCACAAGGAUGUGGCUCUUUAAGCUCACAAGUUCAGCCAUUUGGACCAGGUCCAUAUAAAAAGUUUCCUGUGCAAUAUUCGAGAGGCUUUUGUAUAACAUAACCAAAGUUUUCCUUUUAUAUGUAAGGAAUUUAGAAUUUCUUUUUUUUUUCCUUUUAUAUACAAGCUCUGGCUGUUUAUAGAGUUUUUGACCAAAGAUUGUUAUUCAUAAAAGUUUUGAAAUUAAAAAAAUUUUGAGAAAAAGAAACGAAAAAAAUGCUGUUUGUAGAGUUGUAAUCUUCGUGGGAACGCCUUGGCCUAGGAUCAUUUGUUUCUCUUAUUAGGAAUAUGAAACUUAUGAGAUUCAUAAAAUUUAAUGGACGGUAGGUUAGGUUCCCAUUUUCCGCUUUUUUCUGUAUUUUGAUGAAAUUCUCCAGCAAAGUUCUCAAUAAUUCUGCAGUUGAACACACUUGUAACGCUGCCUAACAUAAUUCUGCAGGAGUAUUAAUUGUUUCCAGGAGUCAGCCUACUGAUGCAAGAUGACCACAAUGGUCCCUAUUUAAAAAUUGCCUUCAAGGAACUAAGCAUCAAGUUGAAAAAUCGAGAUCAAAGACAAUAAAAUAGGAAUAAUCUAAUGUUUCAAAAAGACACAUUUCUCUGAAGUUCAAGUCUAAGAAAGUAAAAGGUGAAUAACAUACUUUUCUCAUCUGUACAGAUGGAUUCAAGGCAAUUAGAAAGUACAUAGCAGUAUGCAUUCAUCCUUUUUCUUUUGCAUCCAAGAGAGACUCAAAUACUACCAAACUGGUAUAACAUAUCUGUUAUGCAGAGAUCCAUGCAGGAACAUGUGACUGGAGGUAUCUGAUCCCCAGAAACCUAUGAAAAUAGGCUCCAAAAAUGAAAAUGCAAUAUGCGCUUAAAAGCAUAGCUGUGCACAUGCACUUCUUCAUUCUCAAGAAGUCAAUAGCAUUCUAAGGAAAGAAGAGGAUAAAACUACUAAAGAUCACCAAAGCUGAAUAGGAAUAGAAAAGAGUGUACCUUAGAAUGAUGAUAGACGAUAAACUUGAGAUCCUGAAAAAAUCUUAACUCGACAAAAAUUGAUUCGGUUUAACCACCCAAUCAACCGUUUUUCCACUAAGGGAAAAUCUUAAGUGUAUCUUGAUAUCAUCAGAGGCUUUGAUGGGAAUGAAAGGAUUGUCACAGUUGCAGCAUUAAAAAAACUCUAAAUUUGGAGUGUCAAUUUCAGCACCUGAAAAGUGCGACAAUCUCUAAAGGCCAGUCUCUGAAGCCUUUGGCUUGAAAUUCUGAUACUCCCCAACCCAUGGCAACUUCGAAACUCUAAGGCUUCAAGGGCCUGGAUUUGAAAUGUCAGCGCCUGGUGCCCAAAGUUAGUUGUGUCACCUGCCCCACUGAGUUUCAACUCCUUCAGUGCUUUGCAAGUAGCCAGGUUAACACUUCUGGGCCAGUUUCCCAAGGAUGGUGCAAACGAAAAAGUAUGAAGAUCAGACACAUCUAUCUGAACAGUAUCAAUCCCAUCACAGUACAGGAACUCAAAAUACUUCAAGUGAGAUAAACUUGAAACUGAGAGAAGUGUGUCCAUCCAUUUACAAAAUGACACUUUCACAUACUCUAUCACGGGGCACCCAGAGAGAAUUUGGUGAAAUAAAAACUUGUCGGUGAAACAAGAAUGAGAUAAAGAAAACUUCUGUAGAUGUGGAAGUUUGAUAUCCAAUCCACUCUCAAAUCUACAACCACAUAAGCUUAAAACUUUUAGCGAGCUAGCGAGCAAAACCGAUUGCGGAACGCUAAAAAUGUCUAUCUGAGCCCGACAAACUAUCAAUGCAAACAGCAAGUUCUGGAGCAGUCCUGUCUACUGCUAUACCAAUCCAUUGGUCCAUAUUAGGCAUCAACAACUCCAUAUCAGGGAAGUCAAUAUACAAUUGAAAUCUUUGUACGCAAAAAUCUAGUUGCAAGCGCCGACAAAUGGAAUUUCCAGCAAGAAUCAAGAAAUCAUGUUUUCGCUUUUUUAUAUGCAAGUCACCAAGAACUUGCUCUUGUUCUGUGACUGAAUUAUCAUAGAAAAAGUGGAAUACAAGAUAAGGAUAAGUGGACCAGGUGCGAUUCCAAGUCUUUGACAAUAUUGCAGUAGAGGUAACAUCUCUGGCACGCAGAUAAGAUAAAAUGUGAUGAAUCACGGAAUCAGGCAACCGCGAGAUGAAGUCCAAAGGGGCAAUCUCCAAACCAGAUCUCUCCUGCUCACAUUCCUCUAUUAUUAACCAACAAAAGCGUUCAUUGACCAGUUAGAACUCAAAUUUCAUCUGUCACUCAUUUACGAACUAAUUCCAACUCCAAUAUGCUUGAUAAUCAAAACAGAACCAAUUAGAACUCAAACGUUCAUUAUUCAUUCAUAAUUAUACACUAAUAUGAACUGAAACGUGCUGGAUUAUCAAAGUUAUGCGCUAAUUUGAAACUCAAACAGUUCCUUAUUUAUUGACGACCAUACACAAAUUCGAACUCCAACGUGCUGAUUCACUACAAUUAUAUGCUAAUCAAAAUCAAAAGUCUUCAUCCAUUCAUGAUUAUAAAGUAAUCAGACUAAAUGGUGCAGGAUUAUUACAAUUAAGCAACUGAAGCAUUUAUAGAAAGAAAGUUUACAAAGAGUACCUGAUUCCAUGAAGGGCAAGCCGGCAAAGACUUUGAAUCCCGAAGGCGAACCUGAUUAUAUCAGUAAAUGUUAUAAAGUUAGCGAGGAAAUCUAUUUAAAUUAAGCAAGCCAUAAGAAGAUUGCAAAUUCCAGCUGACUUUGUGAAUUAUAAUGUUGAGCAGAAAAUAAAGCAUGAUCAUAAGGAUGACCAAAAGUACCUGAAAAUAAUUAAUAGCCUCUGUAAUUUAGCCCCAAUUCCCGGAACAUGUAGACGACGGGAGCGACGGUCAAUUAAGAUUAGCCACAUAUUGUGGCAAGUACGAGGGAGGAAGGGGUAAGGGGUAAGGGGAGAUGGUCAACUAAGACCAGCCACAUAUUGUGACAAGUAUGAGGGAGGCAGGGGUAGAACCCCUGACCUCCAACAUCACCAAAGAGGGUGAUGACUACUGGACCAAAUGGCCAGUGGCGAGAAUAGAGAUACUACAUAGCAUGAAACUGUGAAUACACGUAGUUGGGUAGUAGACUACUAGUUUCUUUCAUUAGUUUUCCUUGACAAAAUAUUUUUGGCUCCGUUUGAAUUAAUUACUUUUUUUUUAUAUUUUUAAAACAUUUUACUGCAACAGUGUAUAUGAAAAAUUUUGAUUGUAAAUUUUUUUGUGAUAUUUUUGAAUAAAUUUUUAAAAUAUAUUUUGGAGUACCUUUUAAAAUUAAAAUAUUUUUAAAGUACUUCUUAAAAAUUAAUACUAUCACCCACAACCACAAAUAACCACCAACACCACCUCCACCACCCACUCCUUCCUCCUUUCUCUUCCCCCUCUCUCUUCCCUUUCCCUGCCCCCACCCCCCUUAAUCUGGCAGCAACCAAAGGCUGCGAUCUGGUCGCGGCCAGAAAGUCUAGUAUCGACUAGAUUGCGGCCUCUAGUCACAACUAGAGACCUUGAUCUGGUCUUUGGCAGAUUGAGGGAGGAAGAAAUGAGAGGGGGGUAUUGGUGGUAGGCGGGGAUGGUGGUGGGUGGUGGUGGCGAGUAGUGGUGGUGAUAGGUGGAAAAUGUUAUAUAAUUCAAUUUUAAAAAUUUUUUUGUGUAUAUUUGUGAAUUAUUUUUUAUAUAUUGUAUGGAUGAGAUGUUUUUGAGUUGUUUUAUUUGUGUAUUAUUCUAGCAUUGUAUUUGAAAAUUUUGUUUUUGAAAAAUAGAUUUUUGGAUUUUUUAGUAGAAAAAUAUACUAUAUCAAUUUGAUGUAUGUGAGAUAAAAAUAAGUGUUUGAAAAAUAUGAUCAUAAAAAAUAUUAAAAAAAAUUUCUGCAGAAAAACUUCAAGGAAUUUCUAGAGAAAAAGAAAUCCAAAAUCCUAAUUUUUUUCCUUUUGUUUUUAGAAAAGGAAAAAGUGCAAGCCAAAAAGCAAUAAAAUGGAUAACUUCUUUUCAUAUGAAUAUAUGAUGUUAAGUACUUUAUGUACUCAUAAAACCCAUAUUUUGGUUUAAGAAAAGCAAUACCUAAUGAAAUUGUAAAAUGAGAACGGUAACAAAGAUUAUAGUCUAAAGUACUCGUUUGAUAGGCUAGUGCAAUUUGGCGUUUCACUUGUACGCUUCAAAUGCACAUCAUCAAUCAGGUAUCCGGACGCUUGGCUAUGCAACUUGAACAAUCAUCACAUGUAGAACUGAGGGGGCGCUUGGUUCAAAUUUAGGAAUUGGAAUUGUAAUUGGAAUCAUAGACUCUGGUUUUGAAAUUAAAACUUUUCAUUCCAAUAUCUUGCUUGGUUCACACAUUGGAAUUAGCAUUAUUCCAAUUCCUGACGCUUGGUUUGAUGAGUGUUUCGGAAUUAAAUGCAAUUAAAUUCCAAAUUUACCCCUGAUAUAACAAUUCUUCUAAAACAAAAGAAUUACACAUACGACAAAUUAACAUUUUCAUAAUUGUAACUACAAUAGUUAUUAACUUUUUAAUAAAACAUAAGAAAAUCAUAAAUAAUAAAAAAAUUAAUACCAUAAAAUAAAUAUAGUAGCUGCAUUAACAAGGAGUAAAUUUCCAAAAAAAAAGAGUUUUUAAACAAUCACCCAAAAGGUGACGAUUUUUGAGUCUCUUUCCAAAGGGCGAAAAAUGCAUCCAAGGAAUGUGUUCUUCCAAAUAUGUUUUGGAAAUUUGUUUAAAUAUGAAAAAUUGGUUAAAUAGCCCAUAAGAUACCAGCUCUUUAUAGGAAACUGGCAGGUUUUGUACCAGUUUUAUGGGAAAAAUUGAUUAAAUAGUGCCCAAAGAAAAACUAGUAUGUUUUGUAUUUAACAUAAAUUAAAUAUGUGAAAGAUAAAAAAAAAAAAUUGCCCAUAAGAUACCAGCUCUUUAAGGGAAACUGGCAGAUUUUGUAGUAUGUUUUGUACCAACUCUUUAUGGAAAACAUACCAACUCUUUAUGGAAAAAAUUGAUUAAAUAGCGCCCAAAGGAAAACUAGUAUGCUUUGUAUUUAACAUAAAUUAAAUAUGUGAAAGUUAAAAAAAAAAAGAAAUUACUCAUAAGAUACCAGCUCUUUAUGGGAAAUUAGCAGGUUUUGUAUUUAAUACGCUAUUUAACCAAUUUUUUUUUAUUUAAACAAAUUUACGAAAAUUAAAAUAACGUAUUUGAAAGUUGUAUUUUUAUUUGGAAGAACGCAUUUCUUGAAUGUGUUUUUCAUCCUUUGGGAAGAGACUCAAAAAUUGCCAGCCUUUAGGAAGUUAGUUUAAAAACUCUUUCUUUUUGGAAAUUUACUCCAUUAACAAGUCGUUUGUGGUUCCUACAUUAGAUAAUGAUAUGAAAUAGAUCACUCCUUACAUAUAUGAACAAAAGAAGGAGACUCAAAUCACAAAAGCUAACCAUACCAAAUACAAAUCAAUUGUCUAAUCCAGUCGAGAGUGCCACUCAAUGUCCACAAUCUCCAAAAGACUAAUCAUAUAACCAUCUAACAAUCAUCAUAUCAAAAAGAAAUUGCCAUCAAAUCAUCACUUUCCAGCUAACAAUAAUUUUACUUCAGCGAGUAGAUGGAGGAUAAAGGAGGUUAAUUACAUAUUAUCGUUUCAUUUCUGCAGGAAGAUUGUAGAACACAUGAAGCUUGGAAAUCUGCUCCGAAAGUAUGUCGGCUGCAUUCAUUACAUCUCCACUCGGUAAAGCAAGUUUCAUUAACUCAGCAACAACUUGAUCUCUUCUAUCGGAGACCAAUUGCUCACGUUUAUCCUCAUUUGACAUGGCUGCUGCCAUAGUUGUGAAAUUAGCUUGAAUUCUCUCCACGAAAUCUCCAAAUUUGCUGGUGAGAAGUUGCAAUGAUGCAUCAAGAUCACCCCUUGUUGUUGAUGCAGAUUUCAUUUUUUUUGACACAUUUGCAAUGGGAAGGGAUUGUUUCUUUUGUUUCUUGGAAUUUCUUGUGCUUGUUGAGUUUGGUUGAGUUGAUUGCUCCAUGGAAUUUACUUCAUCUUCUUCUACCUUAUCAUUAUCCGAGUUUGACAUAACAUCAAGCCCUUCAUCUCCUUCCUCCAAAUUUUGGACAUCUUCCAUAUCUUGGACAGCUUGUGCAAAAUCUUCAGCAACAUUUCCAGUGGCUCUGUCUCUUCCAUAUACAAUUUCAAGAUCUCCUAAAUAUGGAAAUUUGACAUCCCAAAGGCCCUUUGCAUCCUUAUGAGUCUAGAGAUAGAAUAGAAAGAUAAAUGAUAAUCUUAAUAAAAUGUUGAAAAAGAACAUAUCAGAAUGUAAAAAGUAAUCAAUUUCUUACCUUGCACCAAUCAUCAUACCACUGUUUUUCACAAGAAAUCUUUUUCUCAGCAUCAUUCCAACUACAACCACUUUCUUUGCACAUUUCAACAAUUGCAUGGAACCUAUUUUUCAGUCACUUAACUUUUGAUUCAAUAUGUGGGCUGACUUGUUUGGUAAAAGUAGGUUGCUUACGCAAGAUAAUUUUAAGUAAUUUGCUCAUAUAAUUAUUUUUAAAUCCUCCAUCUGAUUUUCACAUUGGAUCACAAGCCAACUCUUGCAAUGAUUCUAUGAGCACUUUUACCUCUUCACCAGUCCAAAAACAUUUAUUUUCCCUCUUCCACGUACAAUUUCAUCAUUCUCCAUCCUAUCAUUUAGAAGUCAACCCAUAUAUAUCAAUUAAUUUUGAUACACAAUAGCAUAUAACUGAAAUUUAUAAUAUAACAAAACACAUAAAAGAACAUACAAUUAAAAGUCAAUCCAAAUUUAAAAGAACAUACAUCAAGUGUCAAUCUAAUUCACAAAUCCACUACAAGAGUACAUCAAAUGUCAAUCCAAAUUUAAUGAGUCUAAGAGCUAAACAUCCAUUCAUAGCUAAAUACUAAGUCCAGCCCUCCAAUUGUCAAACAUUUCAUGCGCUAAAUUAUUUCUAAAAUUUGCCCAUUGAUCACUUGGCAAAAUGGUGGAUAUGUACUCUACUUCUUCAUCACUGUCUUCAUCUUCACUUUCAUUUUCUUCACUUUGUAGUAAUUCUUGUGGAUCAAAAGUCAUGAACUUCCUUAUCAAGUUGUGCAGCAGACAACAUGCCAUAAUUAUUCGCACUUGUGUUUGAAUUGGAAAAAAUGAAGGGGAUGCUAGAAUCUUCCACCUUCCUUUUAGCAAUCCAAAACAUCUUUUUAUGAUAUUUCUAGCUUUAGAAUGUUUCAUGUGAAAUAUUCCUCUAGUCUUUGUGGUCGAUAACCAUUGAAUUUAUUAAGGUGAUAUCUUUGCCCUCGAUAAGGGGCAAGAAAUCCAUCAGCAUUACAAUAUCCAGCAUCCACCAAGUAAUAACAACCUUCAGAAUUCAAUCAUGUACAAAUUAAUACUAGACUACCUUAUUUUCGAAAAAAAAUUGAUUGAAUGGUAUUGAAUACUGCAAUAUAUGUUUACCUUGUGGGACUCUAAGACCAUUUGGUCUAGAGAUAGCAUUUCGAAGCACACGACCAUCAUGUGCCGAAUCUUCCCAACCAGGCAAGACAUAGAUAAAUUGCAUAUUAGGAGAACAAAUCCCUAAUACAUUUGUUGCAAUACUUCCUUUUCUCGUUUGGUAUCUUGAUUUUUGUUCGGUGGGUGGUGUCACAUCUAUUAAUGUCCCAUUUAAGGCACCUAAACAAUUCUAUUUUAACAAAAAUAAAAAAUAUAAAUGAGUUAAAAUGUCUAUAUUGGAUAGUUUAGAUGAAAACAUACAUUUUAUUAAAUGAUUGUAUUUUAAUGUUUGAAUUACCUUAAAACAUUUCCAUCUCUCAUCUGUGCAAUCUUCGGUAAUAGGCUCAGGCUUCUUAAGUAAUAUAGUAUGCAAUUUCAAAACUGCUAGGAGGCAAAGAUUAAAUUGACGACUCACCGUUUCUCUACUUCUCUAAAAUAAACCACAAAUUGUUCUACUUUUCUUGUGGUGAGCCAAAACAUAUACAAACAUGGCAACAAUUUCUUCUAUUGACAUGUUUCUUGUAGCUUUCAAACCUCCAGUGUCUCUAAUCAUUUCACAUAAUAUCCCAAAUGUUCGUCUAUCCAUACGAAGUUCGCUAAUACAAUAAGCAUCACUCUCCCUAGUCAAAUUGAAUAAGUGUUGCAUGCGCUCAGUGACUUUUUCUUCUUUUGAUUUUAUUUGGCGUCUUCUACUUUUGAGAUGAAUGAAUAUUAACUGGUACCACAUCAUAAACAGUGCAAUAACAACCAUUAUCAUUCCUGAUAAAAUCUGGCUUUGCCCUCGAUAUUUUUUGCGUCUUCUGUUUUCAAUAGGCAAACGUGGCAUCUUUGUCUACAUAACAAUAUGACAACCAAAUGUAAGUAUUCACCAAACUAGAUUACGGCAUCAAAAUCUUCAAAUGCAUUAAACAUCAAUUGAUCUUAUUAAAAGGGCCUAGACAUGCAUCAUACAUCCGUAAACACAAUGAUGUAUAGAUAUAAAUAAGCAUAAACAAACGAAAUUGAUGGUUGAAACUUGAAAUCCUAAUGUACGAAUAACUAUGAAACUGAAAGCUAUUCAAGCAGACAAUUUUACAAACAGGUACAGGGCAUGUAGAAACCCACCCAAACUAUACCAGUAUUCACGGAUCAAAUAACCAAAAGAUCAAGAAUUGAUUGACCUCCAUUGAAUGCGUAAUCCAAGAAAACACAUUAAAAACAUAAAAAUGACAAAUCUAGUGACAUUAACAUUUAUCUCACCAAAAAAAAGAACAAAAUAAUGUAUUUGUUGAAGUAAGUGAAUUAAAAUACAUGUAUUACAACAAAAUACAUGGAUUAAAAACAUGUAUUAUUCUCACCAAUAAUAGUGUAUUUGUUGCGGAAAUAAUUUCUUAUUGGAUUUUGUGACAAAAGAAUAUGAAUUCAUGGAAGGAAGACUUUUUUGCAAAACUGACAGAUUGUGUAGCGUGAGUGGAAUAAAAGUGAGAAGGUGAUGGGUCCAGAGCAUAGCAUUUUGGUCCAGUUAGUGUUAUUGUAUCAGAUUCCCUUCUUUUCUUCUUUAUUUUCAGCUACCCAGUGAGUAGCCUGAAAAAACAGAGAAGAAGAAAGAGAAAAACUUGCAUACGAAAAGAAAAUUGCAAGAGGCAAGGGAGUUUGUAAUCCACUGACCUGGGAUCAAGGAAUUCACCCUAGUAGAAGACUCUUCAACUCUAGAAUUCGUUGUCCAAGGAGAGUCGAAAGCCACUGAUCUUUAUGGUUGUCCAACCGGUGAAGUAGAAGAGGUAGAAAAUCUGAUGAAGAAGAAGAACAGAAGGUGCGGCGUGUAAUGAAGAAAAAAAGAGGGUAGGUUCGUCAUAAAUGUUUUUGCUCGGGAAUGAGUUGAGGGUUUUGUCCAAAACCUCCCAAUUUACUCAGGAAUGGUGAAAGUCCGAUUUUUUAGAAAUGAUUCCAGAAAUUGCAUUCCAAUAGACUUAACCCAAGCAACAAAUAAGGGGUUCAUUCCAUUAUUUGAUUCCCAAACCUUUUAACCAAGCAGCCCCUGACUUUAUUCUAGUAUUUUAUAGGAAAAUAUGUACUCAAUUAGCCUGAAGUGAAUUAAAUCAUGAUUGUCAGCAUUUUAAACUUUUGAUGGUGAAGGCCUUAAUUGCUUGACAACUCCCAUGAUUAUUAUGGCUAAACUACUCAAGUUGCCUCGUUAUACUUCAAAAAAAAAAUUCUCAAUUCAACCUUUAACACUAAGAAGUGACUUGAUUUAAUCCCUUGGAAAUAACUCAUGUCAUUUUUAUGUUGAAUUAGUAGCCAAAAGAUUUAAUCGUGUAUUUGCAAUAUAACGGGGUCUAUGUGUUAUAUUAACGAUAUAUUGUUGAUGAUGAGACUAUAUGAAUUCCAAUUCUUUCAGCAAAGGUGAUAUCCAAACAACAAAAUUUCUUCAAAGACAUCUAAUAAAGAGAUUACCAAGUACCCAUGUUAUUGUUUAAGCAAUAUUAGUAUGUUUUCAUAAACAGCAUUUUAUUUGGGUUGAAAUCAAAUCAACACCUAUAUGCAUUUCAUAAACAGCAUUUUAUGAGGGAUGAAUGAGGAUGUAGGGAGAGGGACAAAACGGAGGAGGUGGAGGUGGGCUGAGUUUCUUCUGUUGAGAAGAGUCGAAGUCUCUUGAAAACCGAAGCAGAUACCGCUUGAGAUGAAAAAGGACUGAGGGUGAAGAAGAGGAAGAAGAGGAUGAUGAAGAUGUUAACGGAAGGAAAUGGGCUUGCAGCUUUUCGAGCCAUGUAAAUGUUUGUGGUUUUUGCCGCAGCAGACAACAAACAAAGAAGAGAAGUGAUGAGAAGUUUGGGAGAUGAGCAUGGGUUUAUUAUAUACACGUACGUUGAUCUGCACGCAGGGCAUCAGUAGCGUGUUACUAUUAUUUAUUGAAGGUCCAUAUCAAAAAAAAAAUUUUGAUAACAAAGGUCCAUAUCAAUUUAAUUUCCAUAGAAAAGUAAAAGUUUGGUACCUUAACAUACAAGAAAGAGAGUACAUACACAAUUAAUCGCCAGUCCUUCAAAUCAAGAUAUGUACAAUGUGUAAGUGAGAAUGUACAACUGAUAUUCCUAGUCUACGAGCAGGGGCGGAGCCAGAAAAAAUUCUUAGUAGGGGCAAAGCAACACUAAAAUUUUUUACCUACUCUUUUUCUAGUUUUUUAAGCAAAAAAAAAAAAAAUCACCAACAAGUACAAAUGAUACAUAUAUUCCAUGAAAAAUAUAAAAAGACAAAUUCAAAAUUAUUAAUGUAAUAAUAAUUUUAUUUCAAAAAUAAAUUACACUAUUUACAAUUGCUCACUGCGAGUUUUUAUAUUUUGAUAACUAAUUUGGUUAUAGAAGUAAGAAUGGCUCUCGGUUGUGGAGGGAAAAUAGGGGACCAGUGGAAGGAAGGGAAAUUGGGAAGUGGGGACAAAGGAAGUGAAUGAUAUGAUUGGAUGAAUUGAUCAAGAGAAAGAGUAGCUAGCUGCUUGGUUGUGGAAGGUAGUGGCUCUCGGUUGUGGGGAGAAAAUGGGGGACCAGAUGAGGGAAGGGAAAUUGGGGAGUAGGGCCCAAAGAAAGUGAAUGAUAUUAUUGGUACUUGCUAAUUAAAAUGAAAAGGCUUUUUUUAGCUUAUUUCAAAUGGAAUUUGUGCCCCACGUAUCUUUUUAGAAUUUUAGUUUAUGAAGUAAUUUAAAAAAUCACGUAAUUCUUUCACAUUCUUUCUAAAAAAACUCUGGGGGCACAUUUAAAAUUAUAUUAAAAUUGUACAAAUAUUAUAAGAAUUUAAGGGGGGCAGUGGGGGCCCGUUGCUCCCAGUGCCCCCACCUUAAGGCUUCCUUUAGAUGGAGAGAAAAGGAUAGAAAAGAAAGUGACUAGAGAGACAGCCGUACCAUUUCCUUCAUUUGGGAGUUUUAACAUGGACAGGAGAGAAGGGAAACAAACGGAUAGGACCCCCUCCAAUUGGUGAAAAUUUUUCCGCCCAAAAGUGGGAAGAAAAGGACGGAAACUUGUUGGGCGGCAAAAGGUAUUUUUAAUAUGACAUUUUUUGUCCUUUAAAAGCUGAUACAAAAAUUUAUUAUUCCCAAUAUAUCCUAAAGUUCAUUAGUAAAACCACCAAUUCAUCUUUUUCUCAGCUCUUACUUUCAAUACUUCCAACGAGAUUCACCUGACUUUCUUCCGUUCAACACCCACAAUUCAAUAACAGGUAUUUUUUUGACUCAAUCUCUUCUUUCUUUCUUUCUUUGCUCAAUCUUCUUUAGAAAAUUAUGGAAAAAGCAUUUUUUGUGUAGAUUGUUAUUGUUUAUAUUCUAAAUUUUUUUGUUCAUUUUCUGUCAUAAAAUUCUUGUCUGCGGGAAAUCUUGAUCUUUAUAUUAUUGAUUUGUGAUUAUAUCUUGCAUUGUUAUGGUACAUGUAAGUUUCAGUGGUGAUACAUGAAUAUGAAAUUUAAAUGCAUACAUUUUGUUUGUUUAUUUGCCCGUGUAAGCUUCAAAGUGUAAAAUGAUCAACACAGAGUCCAUAAACAAUAUGUUAGCCUUUUUUAUUGUAAUAAUGCAUGUUUCUUUGAAAUGAUUACAAAGAUAGUAAUACUAGAAGUAUUGUUUUGAAUGGAGGCUGAUGUACAAAAACAAAAUUAGAGAUCUCCUUAUUCAUCAUCCCCAAGAGGUUUCAUGCUUGUCCCUGCUCAAGUUACGAUCCUGGGUAUAUAAUAAGCCUUAAAUUACCUUAAAAACAGUCCAACGUAAGGAUUGGUAAUAGCAGAGUUUAAAACUGUCGAAGCUUCUGCAAGUCUGGCCAUGUAAACUUUGUCUUUAGAUAGGUACAAAAAUUCGGAAUUCAAUUAUCUCAAACCCACAGAGUUCGACAAACUUGACACAUUCUUUAAAUUUUCAUACAUUGCUCUGUUAUUACAAAUAAAUUAAUCAAGUAUACAAUAUAGUAGGUAAAAAAAAAACUUUGAAUCCUACAUUAUUAGUAGAUACUCACGGUGCAAAAAAAAAAAGUUUCACAAGAAUUGAGGGCUAUAAUAGUCAUACAAAUUAUGUACGUGCAAAAUCCCAAGGGAACAUACAUCUUCAAAGGCACCACAUUGCUUUUCUUGAUAUUGGUUCUUGACAUGCAGCCAAACCAGAGUCUAUGACAUGCAGCCAAACCAUACUCAACCAAUUUAUAGUGGUGAAAUACAAUCACAAAUUGUGCUUGCUUGUUGUAUAUUACAUAAUUUUCUCAUGGAGUUUGAUCCUGACUUGGAGUACAUUAAUGAAGUGGAUGAGGAAUUGGCACGUCAAUCUCCAUCGGAGGAAGAAAGUGGUGAUAUAAGUGCUGAAAAAGAUCAUGCUCAAGGAGAGAGUUUAAGGAAUGAAAUAGCAAUGCAAAUGUUUUGAAGAUGAUUCCAAUUACCCACUGGUCAUUUCAUGUUUUGAAAAUAUGUAGAUCAUUGGGUGUAUUUUUGUUUAGAAAUUGAUAGAAUUGCUUUGUAUCAGGAGUAAAUGCUCAUGUGAAUUCGGAAAUCUGAAUGCAACAGGAAACCUAGUUGCAUUCCAUGUAAACCUGGUUUAUGUAUAUUUUGAGUUCACUUGGUUGCAUGGCAUUUUAUUUACUUGGGUUGCAUUCCACGUAUAUCUUGUUUAUGUAUUUUAUGGUACCAUGCACCUCCUUGCUUAAUUAUUUGUUGUUUUCACCAAUCUUUGCUUCAGAAAGCAAACAGACUGGCUAACAUAUAUAUGGCUGAAACCUGAGUUUAUCACUAAUGUUUCAGCUUAGCAAGUGGUAAACCUGAGUUUCAACUUAGCAAACUAAAGCUAAAAAUAAUAGACAGUUGAGCAGCUGUUAAAGCUAAAUAAGAUCUCAUCAGGAUGGCACUCUACUUUUACAUCACUGCUUCCUUCUUCUUCAGCCUGCAGUCUUUUCUUGUUAAGAAUUAUUACUCUUUGGGUUCAAGGAUAUUUCCCAAAGAAAUUAAAGGUUUUAGAUUUAUUGUGUGUGAGUAGGUUUAUGUAAAAAUCGCCGCAUUUCAGCUUCCAAUUCAUUCUUACAACAAUGUGAGUACAAGAUUUGGGUGAAACUUGAACCAAUAGAGGUAAUUACCGUGAAUUAGAGUGGAGGAUACAUUUAUGAGGGAGUCUCCAACGGACAGCUGAAAAGUGAAGGAGAGGUAAACGGAUUAAAUGAUUCAAAGUAAAAUGCUCAUAAAUAGCAAAUAGUUUGUUCAUCUAAUGGAAGAAACUCGUAAAGAGCUGGUAUGUUAUGAACAAUUUUUUUUUUUUACUUUCAAAUACUUCAUUUAUAUUAAAUACAAAACAUGCUAGUUUUUCUUUCGUAAAAAUAUUUGUGUAACGGCUUUUGAAUUUUGUUUGCAAAUAUUUAUGUAUUUAACAUAAAUUAAAUGAUUCAGAAUAAAAUGCCCAUAAAAACUUGGGUACUCCGUUCUUAUAAUGGAGGAAAGCCAUAAAGAACUAGUAUUUUAUUGAAAAACGAGUUUAUUUUUAGUUUAUCCGAUAAAUAAAUUUGUUAGUAAUAUUUUUUACAUUAAAAACGGGUUUAUUUCUAGUCUUGGUUAGUAAUCGUCAGUCUUAUUCAUCAAAAUGGUAUUGGAAUGAUUUUUCUUUUAAAAAAAAAAGAUCAAAUGAUGAAAACUUUCAAUAUUAAAUGCCAGACGUCAUGCUUGUCAGUGCAUUAACUAUCAACAAAUAAAAUUUUAUAAACAUUAGGAUGGAUCAAGUGGUGAAGAAGUGAAGAUUGAGAUAAUCUAAUAAUUAGUAGUAAACUUGAGUUUCAGCUUAGCAAAAACACUAGCUGAAACAUGUACAAUGGCAUUUCCGGUCAAUAUCAAAAUCAUAUGUCAAGAAUACCUAAAAGAUACUACAACGACUUGAGGCGAUUUACAUGCAUGCAAGAGAAUCGAAGUCCAGUAAGAAAUUUGUUGUAUUAUUCACCUUGUGGGAAUGCAUAUGCAAUUGUUUUAGAAAUUUGUUUUGUCCAAAUAUUCUAUUUAUGGGAACAAGAAAGCUAAUUUUUGGACUUUGAUUUACAAAUAGAAAGGGCAAAUAUGUAAAGUUGUAUUCUCAUAAAAUCCUUUCUUUCCAUAUCUCUCCAACUCUCAAAUAAGAGAAAGAUAUUUCUUUUCUUUUUUUUCAUUAAGCUCCCAAACGAAAUAUGCAUCUUUUCCCUUCUCUUCCUUUCUUUCCUAAGCUAUCUUUUCUUUUCUUUUCUCUUCCUUCAUAAACUCCCAAACUAAGCCUAAAUCCGCCCCGGUCCACGAGUGUCGUUACCGUAUGAAAGAAAGGGAAAGAACGAGAAGAUUUUAACAAACUUUAGUAGGCUUUUAAUCGAAAUUUUGAGUUCUGGGAGGGAAGACUUUUUAGAGUCUUGCAGGCAUCCGCUGCAUCGCGAUAGUUGGCCUUUCUGAUACAGGCAUAUCAAAAAGGAAUCAAAUUGGAAUUUACGGUGGAAACAAGGUAGAUGCGCCAACGGCAGCUGGUGUUUCAUUUUCAUGAUGCAAACUGGGGAAAUGUUGGAGCAUUAUGCAUCCAUGCCAUUAGAUAUAUAGUGGGCUUGAUGUUAUACAAUGCAAAUUUUCUUAAAAAAAAACUUUAAAUCAAAAUAAAUCUUGACCUAUCAAUUAUUGAUUUAAGCUAUCAAAACAUUGGCAUGUAACAUGCAAAUAAGCGUUGCUCAUAGGGCAUCAUUCCUUUCCGUCUCACACGCAGAUUAGUCCAUUGGUGGUUCUUUCUUUCCUUUUUUUUUUUUUUUUUUUUUGAAUAUUUGGUACAUAGAGGCUCCAACUUUUACAAGGAGAAGGAAAAAUAGGAGAGUUUAAGGGUCAAGACCUUACGGUCAGUCACCUAAAAGCAUCCGUGCCAAUUGAGUUGAGUUUUGGGAACAAAAUUUUGGCCUUUCCAUUAUAGCAGGAUACAACUAAAUGCCCGGAUUAAUUAACUCAAUUUCCAUAAAUUUAAAAAAAAAGAGUAAGAAAUUGGUACCUCUGAUCAAUUCCAAGGGUAGAUAUAUAAUAUAAUUAUUAGUCCUUCAAAUGGAGACGAGUGUCAGUAGACUUAAAAGGAGUCCAUGAUAUUGAUAGUUGGUCUUUUGGUCACAAUAAUUAUUUCGAGAUGUUUGAUUCUUCGUAAUGUGGAAUAACUUUCCUCCAGACAUUCUAAAGAAACAUGAUGGAACAAGUUGCUGUUUGUGAGGUCGUAUUAAUCCUGGUGGGAACCUCUCUUGCGCAAGGAUUUUUGGGUAAUGAAUUGAUCUUUCAAGAAAAACGCUACUAUUUACAAAAACAAGUAUUUUUAUGUUUUUCUUCAUUUGUGUUCAAUUCAAUUCUCUAUAAUGUAUAUUAAUAGUACUAUUUAUCUAGAGGGAGCACCUUCAUGAAUGGACUAUCUCUAGAGGUUCUCCUUCACAUUUGACGCGCAGAUUACGCCAUUAGGCAAUUCGGGCGGCUGAGCGGUCAACACAAGGCAACAUCAAAACGUAAAACAGAUGUAAUAGAUGGGAGAAAUUUCUUUGAAACUCCAAAAUGUGAUUGUCGAGUAGAUUAAUGCGAGUCUUAUGAAUUGAUUACAUUUUCAAUCAAUUCAAUCUCCGGAUAAACAUGCAUGCUAUGCCCAAAUAUAGCUCUGUCCUGGUUUUCACGGUACAAGCACUUCUUCAUUCUCAAAGAAGUUAUUAGCAUACUAAAGAAAGAAAAGGACCUAAAAGGAAAAAAAGAAGAAGAAAAGGAUCUAAUUAUACUAAGAAUCACAAAAGUUAGGGGGUGCUUGGUUCAUGCUCCGGAAUUGAAAUUGGAUACGGAAUGAAAUAUAAAAAAAUCAGUAUGGGUAUAAGCUCCUGAUAUCAUUGAAAUAACUACUGCUUGGUACAAUUUUUAGUGGAAUAGGUAUCAAAAUUAUUAUUGCAUUUUUGCCCUAUCUUUUUCUUUGUUGGCUUGCAAACAGAUAUAAGGAACUUUUUUUUUUCAAGAAAAUAUGCGAUAUCCAAUAUUAAAGAACAACAUAUAGUAGAAUUUGUAGAUUCACAUACCAAUUGAGGUUCAAUGACAAAUUAGAACAGCCAAAAUUGUUCAAAAUACAAAGCAAAUAACAACUUGGGAUCCGUUUAUCUCUAACGGCAGCUUGCUUAACAAAAUCCACUAGCAAGGAGGCAACGACCUUUUCCUUCAACAAUACUUAUUAAUGAAUCCAAUCUCCUUAGCAUUGCUGCAAAAGCAUUGUCUGCAGCACAUCAGGCCAUACUUUCUGAUAAUACCAUAAGAGUUUCCACACACACGGCAGGUGCGAGAGCCACAGCCGUGGUUCUUAGGAUGAGAAUUCCAGAUGUUGGAGUGUCCCAUCUCGAUAUCGUCUUCCUCUCUAUCAAGCUUUCAGCGGCUGCUAAUUUCUGCCAAAGCCAACCCUAAUUACUGAAGGCGGAGGAGGCAGAUUUAAGGAACUUUGUGUGGGGUGGCACCAGACUCAAGCCGGUGGGGUUUCUUUCUCAAGUUGAAGUUGAAUCCCUUGAGAUUGCGGCUGUAAAUUCGGACACUGAUUUAAACUCAGGGGUGAGGUUGUGCAGGAGGAGGAGAUGAGUGGUGGGAGUUGAUGGAGGAAGACUAGAGGGAGGAUGACUGAACGAGGAUGAAGGGGUAAGUGGAUAAAAAAAAUGUUUUAUUAAAUUUAUCUUGGAAUCAAAUAUAGAAAUUAACAAAACCCACCAAUUUACUCGGGAAUGGAGAGUUGACAACUUUUUAGAAUUCAUUCCAAAAUCUUCAAUCUCAUACCUAUUAUCCAAGCACUUAAAAUGGACAUCAUUCCAAAUUCCAAAUCCCAUACCCUCAAACCAAGCACCCUUUAGUUUGGUUGAGAAAAGAAAGUAGUACUUUAGAACAAAGGUAGACGAUGAGAUCCUCGAAAUAACAUAAUUAUGAAAACAUUUACUAUAUAUAUAUAUAUAUAUGAAGAACAACAUUUAUUUGGGUUGAAAUCAACUAUAUAUACAUACAUAUAUAUAUAUACAUACAUAUAUAUAUAUAUAUAUAUAUAUAUUCUAGUAGUAGCACUAGAGGGAGGGAGUGCUCUAACAUUGAUUCGGACUAAAACCAAUCAUCUUAUUGGCAAGGUCGUAAGUGACCCGCAUCCCUUGCUGCUGUAUAUUCCCAAGUAGUGACGCGCCUUCCGAAGUGCUGGCAAAAGCCAAACAGUGCUUGCCACUGGUAUCAACACGAAACAAGUAAUUUGCAGGCCUCAACGGCAGCGUUUUGCCCCCAGAGAAAUCAAGCGACAUCGUUGGAUAGCCGUCUGUGGGGUUUGAGGAUAGAUCAUAGCAAGCGUCCAAUUUAAAUAUGCCUUCAGCGUACCCGCUCGUGGGAGGCAAGGCUUGAGCGUACUUAACAAACGUAUCACGGACCGAGUUAUAAACCUCAUCUGGCAACAGAGUUAUGGUGGUGCCCGAGUCAACUACAAUUCCCCCGCGUCCGUCUUGGCCUAUUUGGUAAGCUGAUGCCGGAAUGGGUACUUGUUCUCCAUUAAUGGUAAUCCCCGUGAGCUCCACGUAGUAAAAAAUCCCACUUGGAUUAAAAAUCAAAGGAACGAGGACUGAGUCACCAGGUGGAGCUGAGUUAAACUCAAGGGUCGAGGACUUGCCCGAGUCCAUAUCCACAAGACAGUAGGAGAAGGACGUGGCUUGAAUUUUAGAAGGAAAGCUUACAGGAGUGCCCCCAAGACCAAGUAUCCCAGACGCCCCCACGCUUUGAUUUGUAUGGGCGCACCCGAUGGCUACUUUGUCAACCGAACCUGAACUUCCAAACGACACCGUUUCAGUGGCGAAUUCUCCCACGACGCUGGAUCCCUCUAAGUAGCCCGCUCUAAACAUACACGGGUCAGCAGUGCAAUUUCGGUUUUCGCCCAGGGAGGCACAUUCCUGGGAUGCGCAGGAUAAAAGACUAUAAGAUGAAGACCCAGAUGGGUCAAAGACCGAACCGGACACGCUAGAACAUCCAUCGCAGGGUAGGCAUUGGAGCCAGUUGAUUUGGCUACCCGUAUCCGCUACCAGGAGGAAUUCUUUUACUGGUUGGCCCACUCCGACCUGAGCUAAGUACGCUCCUCCAAAUGGAGUCAGCGUAGUUUCCAGGUCCUCCGGUUGGACUUGGGCGUCCGGUUUAACGUCAUGAGGGCGGUUGAAGGUGGAGAGAGCCCGCUCAAUUUUGGAGUUGAUGAGCUUGGCUCGGGCUCGGUCACUCGCCAGUCGGGAGCGUACGAGGUCGGAGUAGUUGUUGUUUGGCGGCUUUAUGAUGGAUGAAUAAGGAUGUAGGGAGAGGGACAAAACGGAGGAGGUCGAGGUGGGCUGAGCUUUUUCUGUUGAGAAGAGCUGAAGUCUUUUGAAAACUGAAGCAGAGACUGCUUGAGGUGAAAAGGGACUGAGGGGGAAGAAGAAGAAGAAGAGGAUGAUGAAGAUGUUAAUGGAAGGAAAUGGCCUUUGAGCUUCUCGAGCCAUGUUUGUGGGUUUGGAGCAGAAGAGAAGUGAUGAGAAGUUUGGAACGAGCAAGGGUUUAUAUACACGUCGAUCUGCAUGGAGGGCAUGUGGUUAAUUAAUUUAAGACAUGGCUGCAUUCACAUUUUACAAAGGGUACAUAUACAUUUACUAGUCCUUCAAACGAAGACAUGUUCGGAGAAUGUAGAAUAACUGAUAUUCCUUGUUACGAGACAAGAGUCUAGAAGAAGAAUGAAGAGACCUUUUUUUUUUCAAAAAAAAAAUUCUUUGAAGCUUAAUAAGGAAUUUUUAUUCAUGUUAAAUCCGCGAGAACAGCAUCAGACACCAACAGACCCUUCUUCCCUGAAGAAAUGAAGAGAAAAUUAAACAAGUAAUAAUGGUGGGUGCUAUGGGUUAAUAUAUGCAAGUAAUAAUUUUUCGUAAAGAAAUCAUCAAGGGUUUUACGUUAAAAAAAAAUCUUCAAAGGUUUUACAUGCAACGGAUCUUCUGUCCCACACUCUAUACCACUUUCUAUCUUACUUUGUAUUAUAUUGUCAUUUCUCUUACAUAAACAUCAUGUUUUAGUUCUUUUUUAUUUUCUUAAAAUCCAAUAACUAUUAAUUGAGUAAUACACAAAAUUUAACAAACUCAAAAAAUCAAAAUGCAUAAAAAAAUGAGAUUUUUAUGAAUUUUUUGCUGUAUUUUUUAAUUUUCUAUUAUAUAUUGCUUUUUUGAACUGUUAUAUUUAUUUUUAUUCAAUUAAUAGCUAUUGAAUUUUAAAGAAACAAAAAAAAACUAAAAUAUGAUGUUUAUGUAGGAGAAAUAGUAAUAUAAUAAAAAGUGAGAUAGAAAGUGACAAAGAUUACCAGACAGAAGAUCUGUUGCGGAUUUUACAUGCAAAUUCUUUCCCCAAGAGUUGUGGAACACAAGGAAUUAUGUGGCUCUCUAAACUCACACGGUCCACAAUUUUACCUGCGUGGUCCGGGUCCAUCUCUAAGAAGAAGAGACAGUACAAUUGGAAUUUUUUUUGUAUAAUGAAUGCGAUGGCACUUUCUUUGAACAGAGAAAAAUCCUGCAAAGAGGCCAAUCACCAAAUACCGUAGACGUUCAUCUUGACACAUAAACCAUACUUGAAAUCAAAGUUGAAAAUUCAGAUAAUCGUGUUUCAUGCAGAAACUCCCUUUCGGUAUCGCAUGCAUAUUAGGCGACUAAUUAGCUGUCAACGGUACGCAACAUCAAAACAGCUGAUGUGGGACAGAAGAUCCGUUACGUACACAACAUCAAAACAGCUGCACUUUUACCAUUCGUCAACCAAUCAGACCAUUUCGUCUUCUUGUCCAUUUGAUUUAACCUAGAGAAACUCUAGUCGUCAUUCGUUAAUGCUCUUUCUAGUUGUUUAAAUAAAGAAGAAACUUUAAAUUUUUGGUACACAAAAAAAAAAAGAACAAAUGGCCUUAAUUUGAACUCAUUUAUCAAAAACUUUAAUUGUCUAGUCGCCAAAUCUGUAAAUGUAUAAUUGCUUCUACAUAUUUGUCCCUAGCCUAAACUUUUUAGAACUUUAAAAACAAAUUGUAUUGUACACUGAAACAGUUACAUGUCCUAAAUUAGAGUUGCCAAUGAAAGAUGGCCAACAUUCUAGUUUUCAUAGGAUAUUACACUUUUCUAUGGUUUUCAAUUAAUGAGAACCACGAGCCCAACAUUAUGGAAUAGGGGUUGUAUCAAGGCACCGCACCAGAGGGCUCAUUGCAAUUGGAUAGAAUAUUCUGAUGCAGACUCGUUCGACCAGUCUGCAGGUAAAGCCUAUUGACUCAGUGGCGACUAGUCGAUCAAUCAGACAAACCAAAGAAGUUAACCUUCUUUGAUACCCAUUAAUCAGAGCCCACAAAGACCAGGACUUUUUUCUUGCCAAUUUUCGGUAAGGCAAAAACAAAGCAUUAAAGCUGGAAACAAAAAAAGAAAAUUUCCCCUUUUAUAGUUUUAUUAGGUCAAGCCAGGAGCAGGACUAGAAGAAAGAAAAUGUGUUUCUUCCAUUAAUUCUUCGCAACGUAAUUCUUCCUUUUAUGUGUACACUAAUUCUUCACCAGAUCGGCAGACCUUACGAGUUCCAGCUCGAUCGUGCAACGAGCGCAACUGAUAAAUCAUUACAGCGAAAACGGAGAGGAUUUGUCUUGUACGUAUACCUCAAUUGACAUGACCGAAUAUGUGUGGGAAAAGCUAGCUCAAGGAUUAAUCCAGCAAAAACAAUCAAGACUCAACAUAACUUACUAUCAAAUUAAAAUGAAGACAGCAGGGCUGAAUCCAAUCGGCCUUGUAUUAUUUUGCAAGCAUUCAUGUGGAAAAUGAAACAGCCAAUGGAAUGGAAUGGUCGUACAACUCCCUCCUUGCCAGAACUUUAUUCAUUCUAUAUCUAUCGACGAAAUACAUCAUAUAUACCCUGUUUACUAAUCGAAAGAACGAUUAUUUUUCCUAUCUAAUGUGUAUCUGAUCAUGUAUAGACGCAUGACUCAUGUACGUUUUAAAUUUUAUAUCUAUAACAUGUAUUUAAAUUCGUUAAUAUAUGCAUACGCUGUCAGUGUACAAAAUAUAUUUAUUAAAACAAAAUCUUUUAAUUUAUAAAUUUCUCAAGUUCAUUAUCAUGUUUUCAUGACUAAGUUAACCGAUGAAAAAAGGCACUCAAUUGACGGAACUUUUCAACAUAAGUAGAUAACGUCCCAACAGAAUUCAGCCAAAACUUUCGUCGUCCUCUCACGUGCCCGGCGUGUGGAUUAGAAGCAUUCAGUCCUUCGCGCCUUGCGCGUUAGCUUCCCACCUGGCCUCGUUGCCAGUGUCCCAUGUGCUUCUGCUGCAUUCUCUCUUCCCGCUGCCUUCUCUCUGCAGCUUCUCUCUCUCUCUUUCUUCUGUCAUUCUUUUUCCUCUUUUCUCUUUCUCUUCUUCUUUCCACAACAAUGUUGCUCUGUCCUCUCAAUUUCUCUCUCCUUUCCUCUAGGGUUACGUACAUCCUCAUACUUUGUCCAUUCGCUCCUCCUCCUCCUCCGUCGACACACUGUCUCCCUCUCCUCUAUCGGCUCCUUUUCUACCCAGCAUCAGAGGUCCGCUUUCUUCCACUGGCCCUGGGAUUCCCCUUUCGCCUCCUUCUGCUUCAAGUUCAGCCUCGCUGUUCCCUUUUUUUUUUUUAAUACCAUUUCUCCUCCACCGCCACACCUUCUUCCUCUCAUUUAUCUCUCAGCCUUUGGGAGGCCUUUCAAUUCCAUAGCAAGAUCCUCGCCAUCAUCGGCAUCUCUCACUGCCUUUCCUCCCUAGAUCUCCAAACCCUCCGGACCCAGACCCUCGCCCUUUAUAGGCUCGGCUCCUCCAGAUCUCCAGACCAUCCUUGCUUGGAGGAAACAGAGAAAGAGAACAAUUAAAGCAUCUUCCUUUUCCCUUUUUCCUAACCCUAAGCUGACCCGCCUUUCAUCCCCGCCGCUCUUCUCACACUUCCUCUCCCUUUCCUGCCCUUUCUUCUCCCUAUCCCAUCUUACUACGUAUAGUUUACUUCUUUAUUCACCGGCACCCGAAUUCGAGUAUAAUCCUCCUUUGCCGUCCAAAACAACCUGUGGGAAGUUGGAUAAAGGUUUGCCUUUUUUUUUUCCUCAAUCGGUUUUUCAUACUCUGUUGUCUUAUCUUACGAGGUAAUGGGUCUGGAUUUGAAGCAGGUGCAUCAACGAUUGUAAGAUUUUUCUUGGUUGGGUCUUGUCAUCAGAUGCGUAAAAGGAGAGAUGGGGUUUAGUAGCUGUUUCAGUGCAUUUGGUUCUUGCAAGGGACAAAUAAAGCACAUGUGCCAUGAGGUAAGAACCAAGAAUAUUUCAAUUUUUAGUUUAGGCUUGAAUGGAGGUUUUUCUCAAUUAUUGCUAAAUUUGAGCAUGGUGAUAAUUUUGUUGAUUGGAUUUAACAGUUUACGAAUAAGUAAUUGAACCUGAAUUUAUGUUUCCCGAUUUCCAAUUUUCAACUCUAGAUAUUCCCUAGGCAAUCACAACCUUCAAGCUUCUCAUCAUAACUAUGCGUCCUUAGGAAACAUCUGUUUUUUCUAACUUGAUAAGUGGAGUCGAUCCAUGUAUUCUUAAGGUAGCUAUGUUACCCAGUUUAGAGUUGUUUGGUUCAGAAAAAGCUCCAAAGUCAGGUUUCAAUUUGAGCUUAAUCUAAGCGGGACAUAAGUGCCUUUAGCGGCUCACAACUUAGAUAACAGUUUCAGUUCAAAGAUAUAAGAACCUGAAUUUUUUUUGUGAGAUUUAUACUGCAUAUUUUAGGAUGGGUGUUAUGGUUUCAUCUGAAUAGUGCAUAUACUAAUCUACAACUCUUUUCCAUGAUUUUGUAUAUGAUCACUUCUGAUUCUCUGGUUUUCUAUCUGCUUCUGCAUGGUUAGAGCUUGCUACCAGCAAUGUUAGGCUAUUCUCAUACAACUCUUUGAGGUCAGCAACAUGACACUUUCUCUCCUCAAACUAGAAUAGGAGGCGGCAGUUUUGGAGUAGUAUACAGGAUAUGAUCAAUCUUAGUUUGUGUGUCUGCAUAAGUUUUACUUUUAUGGCAACUUUGAUUCGGAGAGUAAUAUAGAGGAGAGGAAUGAGGAACUAAGCUAUUAUGGUACCUUACCAAUAUCAUUCUUAUGUUCGGUCCUCCUCAAUUUGUUAGCUCUUCAUAGAGGCUCUUAUCCAGUUUUUUGUACUUUUACCUUCUUGCAUCUCACCUUAAAAUUACUUGUUAGAGAAUGAAACAUGGUGCAAUGAUAUUGACAUGUGUGUAAUUCCUUAUGAGCUGGUGGAUUAAAACUUCUGUUGGCUAUUGAAUAAGAUGAGUAAAUUUCUUAUAUCAAGAAUUCAACAAGAAUGAAACAGGCAGACCUUGAUAAUUGUCUACUAUAUGAUGGUUUAUAUGUGUAGAUAUGCAUUCAAGUGUCAUCGAAAAUCUGGAGCUGGAAGGGACAUUGUCUACCCCAUUGAAUUCAAUUGCAUUUCAUCUUAUAUAAGUGGUGCAUAUACAUUUAUCCACAAUAAAGAGAUUAUUGUUCAGCAGUCAUUCAUUGGAAGUUGGAUUGUAUGGCCUCUUUUUUUUUUUUUCAAGUUUUGUUAAGAAAGAAAAUCAAUGCUAAGAUAUUUCACUAGUGGAGCUGGAUCUAUUACAAUUUUCUAUUGAUUGAAUAUCUUUAGCCUCUUCUUGUAAUCUAUCUCAAAACUGAUUUAAAUAUGCAGCUAUGGUACAUUUGCUACUGGGGGUUGUGAUGGUUAUGUUAGUGUGUGGGAUGGAAACAACAAAAAAAGGCUGUAUCAGGUACUUUUUCCACACUGAAUUUGAAAUGUCUUCAACUUCAUGCUGACUGUAGACACCAAAUUUUUGGUGUAAUUUCUUUUACUUUUUAUUCUCAUUUAUCGUGGUUGCUUUUAGUUUUUUUUAGUUUCUAGUUUCUAUUUUUAUUUUUAAGUUUUAGCGUAGAAAAAUCAUGAAAAAAGAGAAAAAGGAAAAUUGUUCACAAAAUAGGUUUAUUUCUUUUUAAAUUCAAUCUUUUGACUUUAUUUAUUUUUUGGUUAGGUUAUUUCGAAAACAAAAGAAAAGUGAAAAAUGAAAAUGAAAAAUGGAAAUUUGCAUUUUUUGUUGUUUUUAGUUUAUUUUUAUCUAAUGUUAAUUAAGUUGUUUUCAUCAUUAAUUAUUAUUGUUUUAUUAUUAUCAUUUUUGUUGUUUAAUUAAUUAAUUAAAAAAUAAAAAUAAAAAUAACAUUUCCAUCUCUGCCGGAGUGCAUUCCCUUCCCUCGACACACACACUCAACCUCCACUACCGCGAAUCACUCCACUACCUCAGCCUCAACCACAAACACUCCAUCUCCAUUCUCCACCUCGUGAUCAUCGACGAGAGCAAGAGAGGGAGAACUCCUCGGAUUGAGCAGGAGAAAGGUGAAGAGAGAGCGAGCCGCGAGCUGUAUUUCUGUUCUGUCCGAGGAAGUCAAGCGAGAGAGAGAGCAAGAGGCAGUCGAGUGAGCUACUGAUCAUCACCAUCUUCACCAGUUCCAAUCGAAACACCACAGCUUCAACCAUCCGCAACCAGGACCAACACAUCCAACCGCGAGCGAGCAGAGAGGAGAGAAACAUCAGCUUUCUGUCGUCUGAGUGAGCUUUCGGUGAGCUACAACAACACCCUCUACCUUGGAAUCAUCGAAGUGAGGAAACCAGCGAGGGAGAGGGAGCUGCCAUUCCAUUUUUCACCCUCAACUAGCCGUGAUCAAUUCAGUCACAACCAUUACAGCUGCAACCACUGAAUUCAGACUAACCAUCCUCGCGUGCGUGAGCUGCCGAGAGGAAAAAUUGCAGCUGCUGUCCGUGUGAGCUUUUCAUCCAUUUCCUUUCGUCUGUAAACUAGAAAGAGAUUGGGAGCCAUAUUGUCUUCAUACUGGUCGCAAGCUAGAGCAAGGGAGAAGGAGAGUUGCGGACUGAAAUUCUGGACAGCCGAGAGUAGAGGAUUUUUGCAGCUGCUAGUUGCGUGAUUUGAGCCUUAAGCUGAGGUAAUUUCUGGACUUAAGCUAGUUGAUUAUGGCUUGAUGAAGUUGUUUAUAAGCAUGCAUGUGAGAUUGUGUGGCUAGAUGAUAGUUUAAGUCACAGAAAAAUCUGUUUGAGAAGGAAGUGAAGCUGCCGAGAGCUUGAGCUGGAAGUUUCGGUUUUUUUUUAAUUUGCUAGUUGUGAUGAUCUGAGCUUAAUUUUGAACUCAACCUGCUAAAUAGUUCUUUAUUUGGUACUGCAUGUGAACGUUAUGGGCAGGAUUUCGGUUGCAUGGCUGGAUUUUUUUUUAUUGGAAGUAUUAGACUGCUAAACUAAUUUUCCAGCUUUGCCGAGAAGCUGAAAUGGAAAUGCAAUUUUAAUUUCGUUCCCCUGAGGCAGGCUGAGCUUAUAAAUGUGAUUAACUAGCUAAGAAGUAGGUGAUUAAGCUUUGCAUGAAGUUCAUUAGUUCGGCUAAGCAAGGAAAAAAUAUGAAACAGAAAACUGCUACAUGCAAGUUCAUCCGAGGGUGGUGAACAGAAUUUCUGGAAUUGUGGAUGAUUAUAGUUGCUGACCGAACUUGAUUUGAACUAGUUAUGAUAGUAAUUUCAUUAAGUAGCCUUGCAUGUUAGUUUUGAGUACUUAGCACAAUGAUUCAACCGAGGUAAAUUCGGAUUUAAGACCAACUACCUGCUGGAAAAUGCAUAUUCAUUUUUUGCUGCACCAGAAAUUUACGGUUGUGUCUUGCUAUUUUCUUCCAUUGCGGUUCCAAACUUUGCUGUUUUUGUUAGAUAGUAAUUCCAGCCUUGACCGAAAGUUGUAGUUUGUAUGCAUGAGAAGCUUAACAGGAUUUUGAGCAUGGGUUUGUGAUUCGAAAUGCUUGAGUGCAGCUUCCAUGCGAACUGCCUAAGCUCAAAAGAUUUGUUUGCUGAAGUUUCAAACCUUUGAUGUUUUGCUAAUUUUUCUGUUUGAAUGAAGUUGCUAAUUUUUCUGUUUGUUUGAAUAAAGUUGCUAAGUUUUCUGUUUGUUGGGUCUGAAUGAAAUUGGUUGGUUUGGAAAAUUUGAUCACGGUUGUGAUUAAGAAGCUUGAGCUUGAGAAGAAAGUGCAGCAGUCUUCGGUUGCUAGAGUAUGUGAAGUAAUUGCAGAAACUUGUUUCAUGGCUAUUGCAUAGAACUUGCAUGUUUUUUCCUUCUAAAUUUUCUACCUGUUGAGGCGAUGGUGAUGACAUAGUUUGCAGCUUAGUUAAAGCUAUGUAUGUGAGCUUGAGAUCUGUUUUUUUUUGGAAAAUAAGAUGUGAGUUUGAAUUGGGUUUCGUUUGAGCAAACAUGAGAGAAAAUAUUGCAGAAACUCACUUUGAAUUUGAUUUACCUGUUUGUUUGGUUGUUAGAUUCAUGCUUUAAUGUGUUGGUUAGAAGAUUUUUCGAUCAAAAUGGUGUUAAGGUUGAGAAAAUGAAAGUCACGGUUGUCUUCUGGGUUGCCGAAAGCUUUCAGCAGAAAUUUCUGCUGCAGAAUGUUGUUUCUCAUGUUGAUUUUCACGUAGCUUGCAUGGGUUUUGCAUGAAAUAAUUUCUGAAAAUUACAUUUUUAACCCCCCAAGUCCCCUCUUGACUCACUAGGGCCCAAGUAAUUGGAACAUUUAAUCAAUUUGAUCCUUUUAAGUUUCUUUUUGUUCCACAAGAGCCCAAGCAUGUUCUAGUAUCUUGUAAUUAAGUCCUAAAAUCAUUGCAACUUCAAUCUUUGUUUGACUUUUCCUUUAUUUUUAAGAUCUUUGAAGUGCUUAAACGAUUUAUUUGGACUUGAAUGUUCGAGUAAUGCUUGUUUUGGGUCUUUAGUAGAUGCUAUAUUUGGAAAUUGAACGGGUUAUUCCGUUUUCUUGGUCUUUAAGCAUUUUUUGAGCUCAUUCAAGUUGCAAUUAGGUGGUUUUUGAUGUUUUUGCUUAUACUUUACUUUUAAAUUGAUGCCUUGACCCCUUUAUUGUUUUGAAGCCAUUUUCCUUCAUUUGCUUACCAUUAGGGGAAGGUAUAACUUUCUUUUAUCCUCUUUACUUCUCUCUUACGUGCUCCUACGUGUUACGUGAAUUGCAUGUCUACUUGGCUUUCUUAAGUUUUCUUUAAUUCCUUUCAUUUUUAAGUCUUUCUUUUAUUUAUGGGGUAUGUGUACACCUCUUGGCUUGUAAUAGAUAGGGCAUUGGAGAGCACUUUGUCCAUUUUUCCCCCUUCCCCCAUUUGUCUUAGUUAGCCCAUGUAAUAGUUUCAUUUGCUUUUGGGGUAUUAUUUGGUUUGCUAUGUGUUUAAUUUGCUUUAUUAAGCUAUUGCAUCUAGUCGAGCAUGCUAAGUGUUAUGUGCUACGUGUUAUAAGUGAUUUUGCAUGUCUACUUGCUUUCUAUAUUUAUAAAUGAAUGUGAUGGAUGAAUGUACGUUUCCACUAGUCCAACGCUAGUCGGAAUUCAUAGAAUGGGCUAGUCCAACGCUAGACCCUUAGGGACUUCCCCUCGUUAGUACAUGUUUGCAUGUUCAUUACAUGUCAUGCAUUUUUUUUAAAUUUUAUCAUUUUGCAUGCCCCUCGAACCCCUUUUCCCUCCAUUUUAGGAUUUUUGCAUUUCAUACUAGUUAUAGGGUUCAUCUGCUUGAGGGUCCCCUUAAAUAUGGGAUAUAGACGAGUGUGGCUUUUUCUAAGCCUUAGCACGCUUGUAUUCCCUCUAUAAAAGGGCAAAUUGAAUCACGAUUUAGGUCUCCCCGUACCCAAUAUGCAUGAAUUCCCUAGGCUCAUGCAUUUUCAAAUCCACUCUACCAUUUUAUACCCUCAUCACACUUUCAUUUUUCCUCCCAUUUUGCACACGUGCAUCUUUAUUUUUUCUUCACUUGCACACGAACACUUUUAUCAUCACUUGCACACAUGCACUUCAUAUUAUCAUUUCACAUACCGUACCUUGCCCACUCACGUGCACAUUUUCAUUUACAUAUUUAUUGUUUUUUAUUACUUUUUCAAACUCAUGUCCUCACAUUGCAUACAUGCAUUUCAUUCAUUUGCAUCCCACUCGCAUUAUUCGUGACCUCUCCAAAGGGUCAUUAUUGGGCUUCACAAUUAAUGUGAUUGGCACCAUUCAACCUUUGAAGAGAAAUUUUCCCCAAUACCCCUAGGUCUAGGGUUUGCAUUCAUAUAGUACAUCCAAAUGUAAUAAAUUUUUUGGUUAAAACAAGAAAAUAUUUGAUUAAAUCACGCAACUAGCCUUGGCUAGGUCGAAGGGGUGCCUUGGAUUUUUAUCCUUGCCUUCCCCUUCGUCAAAUGUGACUCCCGAACCUUUUUCGUUGGUUUACGUGGACUAGGAGUCGUUUAAAAGGGGUUUCUUAAUAUUUUCUCCUAUUUUUCUUUAAAAAUUCAUUUUUAGGUGACUUGGUACACCUUAACUCAUUACCAAGUGGCGACUCCGAUUUUUUACUUCAAAAACCCUUUUUAAACUAUAAUUUUGGGUCAAAUCGUCGCAUUCUCAAGCCCCCAUUUAGACCCAUUUUUCUUUUAAAUAACAAUUCAUUUUCCAAUCACAAAUUGAAUCAAAAAAUACAUUUUCUCAAACCAUUUAUUUAUUUAUCAAAAAAUGGGGCGCGACAGUUGGCGACUCCACUGGGGACUUAUCCAAUCCACUCUCAAAUCUACAACCACAUAAGCUUAAAACUUUUAGCGAGCUAGCGAGCAAAACCGAUUGCGGAACGCUAAAAAUGUCUAUCUGAGCCCGACAAACUAUCAAUGCAAACAGCAAGUUCUGGAGCAGUCCUGUCUACUGCUAUACCAAUCCAUUGGUCCAUAUUAGGCAUCAACAACUCCAUAUCAGGGAAGUCAAUAUACAAUUGAAAUCUUUGUACGCAAAAUCUAGUUGCAAGCGCCGACAAAUGGAAUUUCCAGCAAGAAUCAAGAAAUCAUGUUUUCGCUUUUUUAUAUGCAAGUCACCAAGAACUUGCUCUUGUUCUGUGACUGAAUUAUCAUAGAAAAAGUGGAAUACAAGAUAAGGAUAAGUGGACCAGGUGCGAUUCCAAGUCUUUGACAAUAUUGCAGUAGAGGUAACAUCUCUGGCACGCAGAUAAGAUAAAAUGUGAUGAAUCACGGAAUCAGGCAACCGCGAGAUGAAGUCCAAAGGGGCAAUCUCCAAACCAGAUCUCUCCUGCUCACAUUCCUCUAUUAUUAACCAACAAAAGCGUUCAUUGACCAGUUAGAACUCAAAUUUCAUCUGUCACUCAUUUACGAACUAAUUCCAACUCCAAUAUGCUUGAUAAUCAAAACAGAACCAAUUAGAACUCAAACGUUCAUUAUUCAUUCAUAAUUAUACACUAAUAUGAACUGAAACGUGCUGGAUUAUCAAAGUUAUGCGCUAAUUUGAAACUCAAACAGUUCCUUAUUUAUUGACGACCAUACACAAAUUCGAACUCCAACGUGCUGAUUCACUACAAUUAUAUGCUAAUCAAAAUCAAAAGUCUUCAUCCAUUCAUGAUUAUAAAGUAAUCAGACUAAAUGGUGCAGGAUUAUUACAAUUAAGCAACUGAAGCAUUUAUAGAAAGAAAGUUUACAGAGUACCUGAUUCCAUGAAGGGCAAGCCGGCAAAGACUUUGAAUCCCGAAGGCGAACCUGAUUAUAUCAGUAAAUGUUAUAAAGUUAGCGAGGAAAUCUAUUUAAAUUAAGCAAGCCAUAAGAAGAUUGCAAAUUCCAGCUGACUUUGUGAAUUAUAAUGUUGAGCAGAAAAUAAAGCAUGAUCAUAAGGAUGACCAAAAGUACCUGAAAAUAAUUAAUAGCCUCUGUAAUUUAGCCCCAAUUCCCGGAACAUGUAGACGACGGGAGCGACGGUCAAUUAAGAUUAGCCACAUAUUGUGGCAAGUACGAGGGAGGAAGGGGUAAGGGGUAAGGGGAGAUGGUCAACUAAGACCAGCCACAUAUUGUGACAAGUAUGAGGGAGGCAGGGGUAGAACCCCUGACCUCCAACAUCACCAAAGAGGGUGAUGACUACUGGACCAAAUGGCCAGUGGCGAGAAUAGAGAUACUACAUAGCAUGAAACUGUGAAUACACGUAGUUGGGUAGUAGACUACUAGUUUCUUUCAUUAGUUUUCCUUGACAAAAUAUUUUUGGCUCCGUUUGAAUUAAUUACUUUUUUUUUAUAUUUUUAAAACAUUUUACUGCAACAGUGUAUAUGAAAAAUUUUGAUUGUAAAUUUUUUUGUGAUAUUUUUGAAUAAAUUUUUAAAAUAUAUUUUGGAGUACCUUUUAAAAUUAAAAUAUUUUUAAAGUACUUCUUAAAAAUUAAUACUAUCACCCACAACCACAAAUAACCACCAACACCACCUCCACCACCCACUCCUUCCUCCUUUCUCUUCCCCUCUCUUCCCUUUCCCUGCCCCACCCCCUUAAUCUGGCAGCAACCAAAGGCUGCGAUCUGGUCGCGGCCAGAAAGUCUAGUAUCGACUAGAUUGCGGCCUCUAGUCACAACUAGAGACCUUGAUCUGGUCUUUGGCAGAUUGAGGGAGGAAGAAAUGAGAGGGGGGUAUUGGUGGUAGGCGGGGAUGGUGGUGGGUGGUGGUGGCGAGUAGUGGUGGUGAUAGGUGGAAAAUGUUAUAUAAUUCAAUUUUAAAAAUUUUUUUGUGUAUAUUUGUGAAUUAUUUUUUAUAUAUUGUAUGGAUGAGAUGUUUUUGAGUUGUUUUAUUUGUGUAUUAUUCUAGCAUUGUAUUUGAAAAUUUUGUUUUUGAAAAAUAGAUUUUUGGAUUUUUUAGUAGAAAAAUAUACUAUAUCAAUUUGAUGUAUGUGAGAUAAAAAUGUUUUGAAAAAUAUGAUCAUAAAAAAUAUUAAAAAAAAUUUCUGCAGAAAAACUUCAAGGAAUUUCUAGAGAAAAAGAAAUCCAAAAUCCUAAUUUUUUCCUUUUGUUUUUAGAAAAGGAAAAAGUGCAAGCCAAAAAGCAAUAAAAUGGAUAACUUCUUUUCAUAUGAAUAUAUGAUGUUAAGUACUUUAUGUACUCAUAAAACCCAUAUUUUGGUUUAAGAAAAGCAAUACCUAAUGAAAUUGUAAAAUGAGAACGGUAACAAAGAUUAUAGUCUAAAGUACUCGUUUGAUAGGCUAGUGCAAUUUGGCGUUUCACUUGUACGCUUCAAAUGCACAUCAUCAAUCAGGUAUCCGGACGCUUGGCUAUGCAACUUGAACAAUCAUCACAUGUAGAACUGAGGGGGCGCUUGGUUCAAGUUUAGGAAUUGGAAUUGUAAUUGGAAUCAUAGACUCUGGUUUUGGAAUUAAAACUUUUCAUUCCAAUAUCUUGCUUGGUUCACACAUUGGAAUUAGCAUUAUUCCAAUUCCUGAUGCUUGGUUUGAUGAGUGUUUCGGAAUUAAAUGCAAUUAAAUUCCAAAUUUACCCCUGAUAUAACAAUUCUUCUAAAACAAAAGAAUUACACAUACGACAAAUUAACAUUUUCAUAAUUGUAACUACAAUAGUUAUUAACUUUUUAAAAACAUAAGAAAAUCAUAAAUAAUAAAAAAAUUAAUACCAAAAAUAAAUAUAGUGUGCUGCAUUAACAAGGAGUAAAUUCCCAAAAAAAGGAGUUUUUAAACAAUCACCCAAAAGGUGACGAUUUUUGAGUCUCUUCCAAAGGGUGAAAAAUGCAUCCAAGGAAUGUGUUCUUCCAAAUAUGUUUUGGAAAUUUGUUUAAAUAUGAAAAAUUGGUUAAAUAGCCCAUAAGAUACCAGCUCUUUAUGGAAACUGGCAGGUUUUGUACCAGCUUUAUGGAAAAAUUGAUUAAAUAGUGCCCAAAGGAAAACUAGUAUGUUUUGUAUUUAACAUAAAUUAAAUAUGUGAAAGUUAAAAAAAAAAAUUGCCCAUAAGAUACCAGCUCUUUAAGGGAAACUGGCAGGUUUUGUAGUAUGUUUUGUACCAACUCUUUAUGGAAAACAUACCAACUCUUUAUGGAAAAAAUUGAUUAAAUAGCGCCCAAAGGAAAACUAGUAUGUUUUGUAUUUAACAUAAAUUAAAUAUGUGAAAGUUAAAAAAAAAAAGAAAUUACUCAUAAGAUACCAGCUCUUUAUGGGAAAUUAGCAGGUUUUGUAUUUAAUACGCUAUUUAACCAAUUUUUUUAUUUAAACAAAUUUACGAAAAUUAAAAUAACGUAUUUGAAAGUUGCAUUUUUAUUUGGAAGAACGCAUUUCUUGAAUGUGUUUUUCAUCCUUUGGGAAGAGACUCAAAAAUUGCCAGCCUUUAGGAAGUUAGUUUAAAAACUCUUUCUUUUUGGAAAUUUACUCCAUUAACAAGUCGUUUGUGGUUCCUACAUUAGAUAAUGAUAUGAAAUAGAUCUCUCCUUACAUAUAUGAACAAAAGAAGGAGACUCAAAUCACAAAAGCUAACCAUACCAAAUACAAAUCAAUUGUCUAAUCCAGUCGAGAGUGCCACUCAAUGUCCACAAUCUCCAAAAGACUAAUCAUAUAACCAUCUAACAAUCACCAUAACAAAAAGAAAUUGCCAUCAAAUCAUCACUUUCCAGCUAACAAUAAUUUUACUUCAGCGAGUAGAUGGAGGAUAAAGGAGGUUAAUUACAUAUUGUCGUUUCAUUUCUGCAGGAAGAUUGUAGAACACAUGAAGCUUGGAAAUCUGCUCCGAAAGUAUGUCGGCUGCAUUCAUUACAUCUCCACUCGGUAAAGCAAGUUUCAUUAACUCAGCAACAACUUGAUCUCUUCUAUCGGAGACCAAUUGCUCACGUUUAUCCUCAUUUGACAUGGCUGCUGCCAUAGUUGUGAAAUUAGCUUGAAUUCCCUCCACGAAAUCUCCAAAUUUGCUGGUGAGAAGUUGCAAUGAUGCAUCAAGAUCACCCCUUGUUGUUGAUGCAGAUUUCAUUUUUUUUGACACAUUUGCAAUGGGAGGGGAUUGUUUCUUUUGUUUCUUGGAAUUUCUUGUGCUUGUUGAGCUUGGUUGAGUUGAUUGCUCCAUGGAAUUUACUUCAUCUUCUUCUACCUUAUCAUUAUCCGAGUUUGACAUAGCAUCAAGCCCUUCAUCUCCUUCCUCCAAAUUUUGGACAUCUUCCAUAUCUUGGACAGCUUGUGCAAAAUCUUCAGCAACAUUUCCAGUGGCUCUGUCUCUUCCAUAUACAAUUUCAAGAUCUCCUAAAUAUGGAAAUUUGACAUCCCAAAGGCCCUUCGCAUCCUUAUGAGUCUAGAGAUAGAAUAGAAAGAUAAAUGAUAAUCUUAAUAAAAGGUUGAAAAAGAACAUAUCAGAAUGUAAAAAGUAAUCAAUUUCUUACCUUGCACCAAUCAUCAUACCACUGUUUUUCACAAGAAAUCUUUUUCUCAGCAUCAUUCCAACUACAACCACUUUCUUUGCACAUUUCAACAAUUGCAUGGAACCUAUUUUUCAGCCACUUAACUUUUGAUUCAAUAUGUGGGCUGACUUGUUUGGUAAAAGUAGGUUGCUUACGCAAGAUAAUUUUAAGCAAUUCGCUCAUAUAAUUAUUUUUAAAUCCUCCAUCUGAUUUCCACAUUGGAUCACAAGCCAACUCUUGCAAUGAUUCUAUGAGCACUUUUACCUCUUCACCAGUCCAAAAACAUUUAUUUUUCCCUCUUCCACGUACAAUUUCAUCAUUCUCCAUCCUAUCAUUUAGAAGUCAACCCAUAUAUAUCAAUUAAUUUUGAUACACAAUAGCAUAUAACUGAAAUUUAUAAUAUAACAAAACACAUAAAAGAACAUACAAUUAAAAGUCAAUCCAAAUUUAAAAGAACAUACAUCAAGUGUCAAUCUAAUUCACAAAUCCACUACAAGAGUACAUCAAAUGUCAAUCCAAAUUUAAUGAGUCUAAGAGCUAAACAUCCAUUCAUAGCUAAAUACUAAGUCCAGCCCUCCAAUUGUCAAACAUUUCAUGUGCUAAAUUAUUUCUAAAAUUUGCCCAUUGAUCACUUGGCAAAAUAGUGGAUAUGUACUCUACUUCUUCAUCACUGUCUUCAUCUUCACUUUCAUUUUCUUCACUUUGUAGUAAUUCUUGUGGAUCAAAAGUCAUGAACUUCCUUAUCAAGUUGUGCAGCAGACAACAUGCCAUAAUUAUUCGCACUUGUGUUUGAAUUGGAAAAAAUGAAGGGGAUGCUAGAAUCUUCCACCUUCCUUUUAGCAAUCCAAAACAUCUUUCUAUGAUAUUUCUAGCUUUAGAAUGUUUCAUGUUGAAAUAUUCCUCUGGUCUUUGUGGUCGAUAACCAUUGAAUUCAUUAAGGUGAUAUCUUUGCCCUCGAUAAGGGGCAAGAAAUCCAUCAGCAUUACAAUAUCCAGCAUCCACCAAGUAAUAACAACCUUCAAAAUUCAAUCAUGUACAAAUUAAUACUAGACUACCUUAUUUUCGAAAAAAAAUUGAUUGAAUGGUAUUGAAUACUGCAAUAUAUGUUUACCUUGUGGGACUCUAAGACCAUUUGGUCUAGAGAUAGCAUUUCGAAGCACACGACCAUCAUGUGCCGAACCUUCCCAACCAGGCAAGACAUAGAUAAAUUGCAUAUUAGGAGAACAAACCCUAAUACAUUCGUUGCAAUACUUCCUUUUCUCGUUCGGUAUCUUGAUUUUUGUUCGGUGGGUGGUGUCACAUCUAUUAAUGUCCCAUCUAAGGCACCUAAACAAUUCUAUUUUAACAAAAAUAAAAAAUAUAAAUGAGUUAAAAUGUCUAUAUUGGAUAGUUUAGAUGAAAACAUACAUUUUAUUAAAUGAUUGUAUUUUAAUGUUUGAAUUACCUUAAAACAUUUCCAUCUCUCAUCUGUGCAAUCUUCGGUAAUAGGCUCAGGCUUCUUAAGUAAUAUAGUAUGCAAUUUCAAAACUGCUAGGAGGCAAAGAUUAAAUUGACGACUCACCGUUUCUCUACUUCUCCAAAAUAGACCACAAAUUGUUCUACUUUUCUUGUGGUGAGCCAAAACAUAUACAAACAUGGCAACAAUUUCUUCUAUUGACAUGUUUCUUGUAGCUUUCAAACCUCCAGUGUCUCUAAUCAUUUCACAUAAUAUCCCAAAUGUUCGUCUAUCCAUACGAAGUUCGCUAAUACAAUAAGCAUCACUCUCCCUAGUCAAAUUGAAUAAGUGUUGCAUGCGCUCAGUGACUUUUUCUUCUUUUGAUUUUAUUUGGCGUCUUCUACUUUUGAGAUGAAUGAAUAUUAACUGGUACCACAUCAUAAACAGUGCAAUAACAACCAUUAUCAUUCCUGAUAAAAUCUGGCUUUGCCCUCGAUAUUUUUUGCGUCUUCUGUUUUCAAUAGGCAAACGUGGCAUCUUUGUCUACAUAACAAUAUGACAACCAAACGUAAGUAUUCACCAAACUAGAUUACGGCAUCAAAAUCUUCAAAUGCAUUAAACAUCAAUUGAUCUUAUUAAAAGGGCCUAGACAUGCAUCAUACAUCCGUAAACACAAUGAUGUAUAGAUAUAAAUAAGCAUAAACAAACGAAAUUGAUGGUUGAAACUUGAAAUCCUAAUGUACGAAUAACUAUGAAACUGAAAGCUAUUCAAGCAGACAAUUUUACAAACAGGUACAGGGCAUGUAGAAACCCACCCAAACUAUACCAGUAUUCACGGAUCAAAUAACCAAAAGAUCAAGAAUUGAUUGACCUCCAUUGAAUGCGUAAUCCAAGAAAACACAUUAAAAAAUAAAAAUGACAAAUCUAGUGACAUUAACAUUUAUCUCACCAAAAAAAAGAACAAAAUAAUGUAUUUGUUGAAGUAAGUGAAUUAAAAUACAUGUAUUACAACAAAAUACAUGGAUUAAAAACAUGUAUUAUUCUCACCAAUAAUAGUGUAUUUGUUGCGGAAAUAAUUUCUUAUUGGAUUUUGUGACAAAAGAAUAUGAAUUCAUGGAAGGAAGACUUUUUUGCAAAACUGACAGAUUGUGUAGCGUGAGUGGAAUAAAAGUGAGAAGGUGAUGGGUCCAGAGCAUAGCAUUUUGGUCCAGUUAGUGUUAUUGUAUCAGAUUCCCUUCUUUUCUUCUUUAUUUUCAGUUACCCAGUGAGUAGCCUGAAAAAAACAGAGAAGAAGAAAGAGAAAAGCUUGCAUACGAAAAGAAAAUUGAAGAGGCAAGGGAAUUUGUAAUCCACUGACCUGGGAUCAAGGAAUUCACCCUAGUAGAAGACUCUUCAACUCUAGAAUUCGUUGUCCAAGGAGAGUCGAAAGCCACUGAUCAUUAUGGUUGUCCAAUCGGUGAAGUAGAAGCGGUAGAAAAUCUGAUGAAGAAGAAGAACAGAAGGUGCGGAGUGUAAUGAAAAAAAAAAAGAGGGUAGGUUCGUCAUAAAUGUUUUUGCUCGGGAAUGAGUUGGGGGUUUUGUCCAAAACCUCCCAAUUUACUCAGGAAUGGUGAAAGUCCGAUUUUUUAGAAAUGAUUCCAGAAAUUGCAUUCCAAUAGACUUAACCCAAGUAACAAAUAAGGGGUUCAUUCCAUUAUUUGAUUCCCAAACCUUUUAACCAAGCAGCCCUGACUUUAUUCUAGUAUUUUAUAGGAAAAUAUGUACUCAAUUAGCCUGAAGUGAAUUAAAUCAUGAUUGUCAGCAUUUUAAACUUUUGAUGGUGAAGGCCUUAAUUGCUUGACAACUCCCAUGAUUAUUAUGGCUAAACUACUCAAGUUGCCUCGUUAUACUUCAAAAAAAAAAAUUCUCAAUUCAACCUUUAACACUAAGAAGUGACUUGAUUUAAUCCCUUGGAAAUAACUCAUGUCAUUUUUAUGUUGAAUUAGUAGCCAAAAGAUUUAAUCGUGUAUUUGCAAUAUAACGGGGUCUAUGUGUUAUAUUAACGAUAUAUUGUUGAUGAUGAGACUAUAUGAAUUCCAAUUCUUUCAGCAAAGGUGAUAUCCAAACAACAAAAUUUCUUCAAAGACAUCUAAUAAAGAGAUUACCAAGUACCCAUGUUAUUGUUUAAGCAAUAUUAGUAUGUUUUCAUAAACAGCAUUUUAUUUGGGUUGAAAUCAAAUCAACACCUAUAUGCAUUUCAUAAACAGCAUUUUAUGAGGGAUGAAUGAGGAUGUAGGGAGAGGGACAAAACGGAGAGGUGGAGGUGGGCUGAGUUUCUUCUGUUGAGAAGAGUCGAAGUCUCUUGAAAACCGAAGCAGAUACCGCUUGAGAUGAAAAAGGACUGAGGGUGAAGAAGAGGAAGAAGAGGAUGAUGAAGAUGUUAACGGAAGGAAAUGGGCUUGCAGCUUUUCGAGCCAUGUAAAUGUUUGUGGUUUUUGCCGCAGCAGCACAACAAACAAAGAAGAGAAGUGAUGAGAAGUUUGGGAGAUGAGCAUGGGUUUAUUAUAUACACGUACGUUGAUCUGCACGCAGGGCAUCAUCAGUAGCGUGUUACUAUUAUUUAUUGAAGGUCCAUAUCAAAAAAAAAAUUUUGAUAACAAAGGUCCAUAUCAAUUUAAUUUCCAUAGAAAAGUAAAAGUUUGGUACCUUAACAUACAAGAAAGAGAGUACAUACACAAUUAAUCGCCAGUCCUUCAAAUCAAGAUAUGUACAAUGUGUAAGUGAGAAUGUACAACUGAUAUUCCUAGUCUACGAGCAGGGGCGGAGCCAGAAAAAAUUCUUAGUAGGGGCAAAGCAACACUAAAAUUUUUUACCUACUCUUUUUCUAGUUUUUAAGCAAAAAAAAAAAAAAUCACCAACAAGUACAAAUGAUACAUAUAUUCCAUGAAAAAUAUAAAAAGACAAAUUCAAAAUUAUUAAUGUAAUAAUAAUUUUAUUUCAAAAAUAAAUUACACUAUUUACAAUUGCUCACUGCGAGUUUUUAUAUUUUGAUAACUAAUUUGGUUAUAGAAGUAAGAAUGGCUCUCGGUUGUGGAGGGAAAAUAGGGGACCAGUGGAAGGAAGGGAAAUUGGGAAGUGGGGACAAAGGAAGUGAAUGAUAUGAUUGGAUGAAUUGAUCAAGAGAAAGAGUAGCUAGCUGCUUGGUUGUGGAAGGUAGUGGCUCUCGGUUGUGGGGAGAAAAUGGGGGACCAGAUGAGGGAAGGGAAAUUGGGGAGUAGGGCCCAAAGAAAGUGAAUGAUAUUAUUGGUACUUGCUAAUUAAAAUGAAAAGGCUUUUUUUAGCUUAUUUCAAAUGGAAUUUGUGCCCCACGUAUCUUUUUAGAAUUUUAGUUUAUGAAGUAAUUUAAAAAAUCACGUAAUUCUUUCACAUUCUUUCUAAAAAAACUCUGGGGGCACAUUUAAAAUUAUAUUAAAAUUGUACAAAUAUUAUAAGAAUUUAAGGGGGCAGUGGGGGCCCGUUGCUCCCAGUGCCCCCACCUUAAGGCUUCCUUUAGAUGGAGAGAAAAGGAUAGAAAAGAAAGUGACUAGAGAGACAGCCGUACCAUUUCCUUCAUUUGGGAGUUUUAACAUGGACAGGAGAGAAGGGAAACAAACGGAUAGGACCCCCUCCAAUUGGUGAAAAUUUUUCCGCCCAAAAGUGGGAAGAAAAGGACGGAAACUUGUUGGGCGGCAAAAGGUAUUUUUAAUAUGACAUUUUUUGUCCUUUAAAAGCUGAUACAAAAAUUUAUUAUUCCCAAUAUAUCCUAAAGUUCAUUAGUAAAACCACCAAUUCAUCUUUUUCUCAGCUCUUACUUUCAAUACUUCCAACGAGAUUCACCUGACUUUCUUCCGUUCAACACCCACAAUUCAAUAACAGGUAUUUUUUUGACUCAAUCUCUUCUUUCUUUCUUUCUUUGCUCAAUCUUCUUUAGAAAAUUAUGGAAAAAGCAUUUUUUGUGUAGAUUGUUAUUGUUUAUAUUCUAAAUUUUUUGUUCAUUUUCUGUCAUAAAAUUCUUGUCUGCGGGAAAUCUUGAUCUUUAUAUUAUUGAUUUGUGAUUAUAUCUUGCAUUGUUAUGGUACAUGUAAGUUUCAGUGGUGAUACAUGAAUAUGAAAUUUAAAUGCAUACAUUUUGUUUGUUUAUUUGCCCGUGUAAGCUUCAAAGUGUAAAUGAUCAACACAGAGUCCAUAAACAAUAUGUUAGCCUUUUUUAUUGUAAUAAUGCAUGUUUCUUUGAAAUGAUUACAAAGAUAGUAAUACUAGAAGUAUUGUUUUGAAUGGAGGCUGAUGUACAAAAACAAAAUUAGAGAUCUCCUUAUUCAUCAUCCCCAAGAGGUUUCAUGCUUGUCCCUGCUCAAGUUACGAUCCUGGGUAUAUAAUAAGCCUUAAAUUACCUUAAAAACAGUCCAACGUAAGGAUUGGUAAUAGCAGAGUUUAAAACUGUCGAAGCUUCUGCAAGUCUGGCCAUGUAAACUUUGUCUUUAGAUAGGUACAAAAAUUCGGAAUUCAAUUAUCUCAAACCCACAGAGUUCGACAAACUUGACACAUUCUUUAAAUUUUCAUACAUUGCUCUGUUAUUACAAAUAAAUUAAUCAAGUAUACAAUAUAGUAGGUAAAAAAAAAACUUUGAAUCCUACAUUAUUAGUAGAUACUCACGGUGCAAAAAAAAAAAGUUUCACAAGAAUUGAGGGCUAUAAUAGUCAUACAAAUUAUGUACGUGCAAAAUCCCAAGGGAACAUACAUCUUCAAAGGCACCACAUUGCUUUUCUUGAUAUUGGUUCUUGACAUGCAGCCAAACCAGAGUCUAUGACAUGCAGCCAAACCAUACUCAACCAAUUUAUAGUGGUGAAAUACAAUCACAAAUUGUGCUUGCUUGUUGUAUAUUACAUAAUUUUCUCAUGGAGUUUGAUCCUGACUUGGAGUACAUUAAUGAAGUGGAUGAGGAAUUGGCACGUCAAUCUCCAUCGGAGGAAGAAAGUGGUGAUAUAAGUGCUGAAAAAGAUCAUGCUCAAGGAGAGAGUUUAAGGAAUGAAAUAGCAAUGCAAAUGUUUUGAAGAUGAUUCCAAUUACCCACUGGUCAUUUCAUGUUUUGAAAAUAUGUAGAUCAUUGGGUGUAUUUUUGUUUAGAAAUUGAUAGAAUUGCUUUGUAUCAGGAGUAAAUGCUCAUGUGAAUUCGGAAAUCUGAAUGCAACAGGAAACCUAGUUGCAUUCCAUGUAAACCUGGUUUAUGUAUAUUUUGAGUUCACUUGGUUGCAUGGCAUUUUAUUUACUUGGGUUGCAUUCCACGUAUAUCUUGUUUAUGUAUUUUAUGGUACCAUGCACCUCCUUGCUUAAUUAUUUGUUGUUUUCACCAAUCUUUGCUUCAGAAAGCAAACAGACUGGCUAACAUAUAUAUGGCUGAAACCUGAGUUUAUCACUAAUGUUUCAGCUUAGCAAGUGGUAAACCUGAGUUUCAACUUAGCAAACUAAAGCUAAAAAUAAUAGACAGUUGAGCAGCUGUUAAAGCUAAAUAAGAUCUCAUCAGGAUGGCACUCUACUUUUACAUCACUGCUUCCUUCUUCUUCAGCCUGCAGUCUUUUCUUGUUAAGAAUUAUUACUCUUUGGGUUCAAGGAUAUUUCCCAAAGAAAUUAAAGGUUUUAGAUUUAUUGUGUGUGAGUAGGUUUAUGUAAAAAUCGCCGCAUUUCAGCUUCCAAUUCAUUCUUACAACAAUGUGAGUACAAGAUUUGGGUGAAACUUGAACCAAUAGAGGUAAUUACCGUGAAUUAGAGUGGAGGAUACAUUUAUGAGGGAGUCUCCAACGGACAGCUGAAAAGUGAAGGAGAGGUAAACGGAUUAAAUGAUUCAAAGUAAAAUGCUCAUAAAUAGCAAAUAGUUUGUUCAUCUAAUGGAAGAAACUCGUAAAGAGCUGGUAUGUUAUGAACAAUUUUUUUUUUUUACUUUCAAAUACUUCAUUUAUAUUAAAUACAAAACAUGCUAGUUUUUCUUUCGUAAAAAUAUUUGUGUAACGGCUUUUGAAUUUUGUUUGCAAAUAUUUAUGUAUUUAACAUAAAUUAAAUGAUUCAGAAUAAAAUGCCCAUAAAAACUUGGGUACUCCGUUCUUAUAAUGGAGGAAAGCCAUAAAGAACUAGUAUUUUAUUGAAAACGAGUUUAUUUUUAGUUUAUCCGAUAAAUAAAUUUGUUAGUAAUAUUUUUUACAUUAAAAACGGGUUUAUUUCUAGUCUUGGUUAGUAAUCGUCAGUCUUAUUCAUCAAAAUGGUAUUGGAAUGAUUUUUCUUUUAAAAAAAAAAGAUCAAAUGAUGAAAACUUUCAAUAUUAAAUGCCAGACGUCAUGCUUGUCAGUGCAUUAACUAUCAACAAAUAAAAUUUUAUAAACAUUAGGAUGGAUCAAGUGGUGAAGAAGUGAAGAUUGAGAUAAUCUAAUAAUUAGUAGUAAACUUGAGUUUCAGCUUAGCAAAAACACUAGCUGAAACAUGUACAAUGGCAUUUCCGGUCAAUAUCAAAAUCAUAUGUCAAGAAUACCUAAAAGAUACUACAACGACUUGAGGCGAUUUACAUGCAUGCAAGAGAAUCGAAGUCCAGUAAGAAAUUUGUUGUAUUAUUCACCUUGUGGGAAUGCAUAUGCAAUUGUUUUAGAAAUUUGUUUUGUCCAAAUAUUCUAUUUAUGGGAACAAGAAAGCUAAUUUUUGGACUUUGAUUUACAAAUAGAAAGGGCAAAUAUGUAAAGUUGUAUUCUCAUAAAAUCCUUUCUUUCCAUAUCUCUCCAACUCUCAAAUAAGAGAAAGAUAUUUCUUUUCUUUUUUUUCAUUAAGCUCCCAAACGAAAUAUGCAUCUUUUCCCUUCUCUUCCUUUCUUUCCUAAGCUAUCUUUUCUUUUCUUUUCUCUUCCUUCAUAAACUCCCAAACUAAGCCUAAAUCCGCCCCGGUCCACGAGUGUCGUUACCGUAUGAAAGAAAGGGAAAGAACGAGAAGAUUUUAACAAACUUUAGUAGGCUUUUAAUCGAAAUUUUGAGUUCUGGGAGGGAAGACUUUUUAGAGUCUUGCAGGCAUCCGCUGCAUCGCGAUAGUUGGCCUUUCUGAUACAGGCAUAUCAAAAAGGAAUCAAAUUGGAAUUUACGGUGGAAACAAGGUAGAUGCGCCAACGGCAGCUGGUGUUUCAUUUUCAUGAUGCAAACUGGGGAAAUGUUGGAGCAUUAUGCAUCCAUGCCAUUAGAUAUAUAGUGGGCUUGAUGUUAUACAAUGCAAAUUUUCUUAAAAAAAAACUUUAAAUCAAAAUAAAUCUUGACCUAUCAAUUAUUGAUUUAAGCUAUCAAAACAUUGGCAUGUAACAUGCAAAUAAGCGUUGCUCAUAGGGCAUCAUUCCUUUCCGUCUCACACGCAGAUUAGUCCAUUGGUGGUUCUUUCUUUCCUUUUUUUUUUUUUUUUUUGAAUAUUUGGUACAUAGAGGCUCCAACUUUUACAAGGAGAAGGAAAAAUAGGAGAGUUUAAGGGUCAAGACCUUACGGUCAGUCACCUAAAAGCAUCCGUGCCAAUUGAGUUGAGUUUUGGGAACAAAAUUUUGGCCUUUCCAUUAUAGCAGGAUACAACUAAAUGCCCGGAUUAAUUAACUCAAUUUCCAUAAAUUUAAAAAAAAGAGUAAGAAAUUGGUACCUCUGAUCAAUUCCAAGGGUAGAUAUAUAAUAUAAUUAUUAGUCCUUCAAAUGGAGACGAGUGUCAGUAGACUUAAAAGGAGUCCAUGAUAUUGAUAGUUGGUCUUUUGGUCACAAUAAUUAUUUCGAGAUGUUUGAUUCUUCGUAAUGUGGAAUAACUUUCCUCCAGACAUUCUAAAGAAACAUGAUGGAACAAGUUGCUGUUUGUGAGGUCGUAUUAAUCCUGGUGGGAACCUCUCUUGCGCAAGGAUUUUUGGGUAAUGAAUUGAUCUUUCAAGAAAAACGCUACUAUUUACAAAAACAAGUAUUUUUAUGUUUUUCUUCAUUUGUGUUCAAUUCAAUUCUCUAUAAUGUAUAUUAAUAGUACUAUUUAUCUAGAGGGAGCACCUUCAUGAAUGGACUAUCUCUAGAGGUUCUCCUUCACAUUUGACGCGCAGAUUACGCCAUUAGGCAAUUCGGGCGGCUGAGCGGUCAACACAAGGCAACAUCAAAACGUAAAACAGAUGUAAUAGAUGGGAGAAAUUUCUUUGAAACUCCAAAAUGUGAUUGUCGAGUAGAUUAAUGCGAGUCUUAUGAAUUGAUUACAUUUUCAAUCAAUUCAAUCUCCGGAUAAACAUGCAUGCUAUGCCCAAAUAUAGCUCUGUCCUGGUUUUCACGGUACAAGCACUUCUUCAUUCUCAAAGAAGUUAUUAGCAUACUAAAGAAAGAAAAGGACCUAAAAGGAAAAAAAGAAGAAGAAAAGGAUCUAAUUAUACUAAGAAUCACAAAAGUUAGGGGGUGCUUGGUUCAUGCUCCGAAUUGAAAUUGGAUACGGAAUGAAAUAUAAAAAAAUCAGUAUGGGUAUAAGCUCCUGAUAUCAUUGAAAUAACUACUGCUUGGUACAAUUUUUAGUGGAAUAGGUAUCAAAAUUAUUAUUGCAUUUUUGCCCUAUCUUUUUCUUUGUUGGCUUGCAAACAGAUAUAAGGAACUUUUUUUUUUCAAGAAAAUAUGCGAUAUCCAAUAUUAAAGAACAACAUAUAGUAGAAUUUGUAGAUUCACAUACCAAUUGAGGUUCAAUGACAAAUUAGAACAGCCAAAAUUGUUCAAAAUACAAAGCAAAUAACAACUUGGGAUCCGUUUAUCUCUAACGGCAGCUUGCUUAACAAAAUCCACUAGCAAGGAGGCAACGACCUUUUCCUUCAACAAUACUUAUUAAUGAAUCCAAUCUCCUUAGCAUUGCUGCAAAAGCAUUGUCUGCAGCACAUCAGGCCAUACUUUCUGAUAAUACCAUAAGAGUUUCCACACACACGGCAGGUGCGAGAGCCACAGCCGUGGUUCUUAGGAUGAGAAUUCCAGAUGUUGGAGUGUCCCAUCUCGAUAUCGUCUUCCUCUCUAUCAAGCUUUCAGCGGCUGCUAAUUUCUGCCAAAGCCAACCCUAAUUACUGAAGGCGGAGGAGGCAGAUUUAAGGAACUUUGUGUGGGGUGGCACCAGACUCAAGCCGGUGGGGUUUCUUUCUCAAGUUGAAGUUGAAUCCCUUGAGAUUGCGGCUGUAAAUUCGGACACUGAUUUAAACUCAGGGGUGAGGUUGUGCAGGAGGAGGAGAUGAGUGGUGGGAGUUGAUGGAGGAAGACUAGAGGGAGGAUGACUGAACGAGGAUGAAGGGGUAAGUGGAUAAAAAAAAUGUUUUAUUAAAUUUAUCUUGGAAUCAAAUAUAGAAAUUAACAAAACCCACCAAUUUACUCGGGAAUGGAGAGUUGACAACUUUUUAGAAUUCAUUCCAAAAUCUUCAAUCUCAUACCUAUUAUCCAAGCACUUAAAAUGGACAUCAUUCCAAAUUCCAAAUCCCAUACCCUCAAACCAAGCACCCUUUAGUUUGGUUGAGAAAAGAAAGUAGUACUUUAGAACAAAGGUAGACGAUGAGAUCCUCGAAAAAUAACAUAAUUAUGAAAACAUUUACUAUAUAUAUAUAUAUAUAUGAAGAACAACAUUUAUUUGGGUUGAAUCAACUAUAUAUACAUACAUAUAUAUAUAUACAUACAUAUAAUAUAUAUAUAUAUAUAUAUAUCUAGUAGUAGCACUAGAGGGAGGGAGUGCUCUAACAUUGAUUCGGACUAAAACCAAUCAUCUUAUUGGCAAGGUCGUAAGUGACCCGCAUCCCUUGCUGCUGUAUAUUCCCAAGUAGUGACGCGCCUUCCGAAGUGCUGGCAAAAGCCAAACAGUGCUUGCCACUGGUAUCAACACGAAACAAGUAAUUUGCAGGCCUCAACGGCAGCGUUUUGCCCCAGAGAAAUCAAGCGACAUCGUUGGAUAGCCGUCUGUGGGUUUGAGGAUAGAUCAUAGCAAGCGUCCAAUUUAAAUAUGCCUUCAGCGUACCCGCUCGUGGGAGGCAAGGCUUGAGCGUACUUAACAAACGUAUCACGGACCGAGUUAUAAACCUCAUCUGGCAACAGAGUUAUGGUGGUGCCCGAGUCAACUACAAUUCCCCCGCGUCCGUCUUGGCCUAUUUGGUAAGCUGAUGCCGGAAUGGGUACUUGUUCUCCAUUAAUGGUAAUCCCCGUGAGCUCCACGUAGUAAAAAAUCCCACUUGGAUUAAAAAUCAAAGGAACGAGGACUGAGUCACCAGGUGGAGCUGAGUUAAACUCAAGGGUCGAGGACUUGCCCGAGUCCAUAUCCACAAGACAGUAGGAGAAGGACGUGGCUUGAAUUUUAGAAGGAAAGCUUACAGGAGUGCCCCCAAGACCAAGUAUCCCAGACGCCCCCACGCUUUGAUUUGUAUGGGCGCACCGAUGGCUACUUUGUCAACCGAACCUGAACUUCCAAACGACACCGUUUCAGUGGCGAAUUCUCCCACGACGCUGGAUCCCUCUAAGUAGCCCGCUCUAAACAUACACGGGUCAGCAGUGCAAUUUCGGUUUUCGCCCAGGGAGGCACAUUCCUGGGAUGCGCAGGAUAAAAGACUAUAAGAUGAAGACCCAGAUGGGUCAAAGACCGAACCGGACACGCUAGAACAUCCAUCGCAGGGUAGGCAUUGGAGCCAGUUGAUUUGGCUACCCGUAUCCGCUACCAGGAGGAAUUCUUUUACUGGUUGGCCCACUCCGACCUGAGCUAAGUACGCUCCUCCAAAUGGAGUCAGCGUAGUUUCCAGGUCCUCCGGUUGGACUUGGGCGUCCGGUUUAACGUCAUGAGGGCGGUUGAAGGUGGAGAGAGCCCGCUCAAUUUUGGAGUUGAUGAGCUUGGCUCGGGCUCGGUCACUCGCCAGUCGGAGCGUACGAGGUCGGAGUAGUUGUUGUUUGGCGGCUUUAUGAUGGAUGAAUAAGGAUGUAGGGAGAGGGACAAAACGGAGGAGGUCGAGGUGGGCUGAGCUUUUUCUGUUGAGAAGAGCUGAAGUCUUUUGAAAACUGAAGCAGAGACUGCUUGAGGUGAAAAGGGACUGAGGGGGAAGAAGAAGAAGAAGAGGAUGAUGAAGAUGUUAAUGGAAGGAAAUGGCCUUUGAGCUUCUCGAGCCAUGUUUGUGGGUUUGGAGCAGAAGAGAAG
rnacentral:lncRNA from 1 species